AGGAAGAAAGUACAACAAGGUGAUAUUCCGGAAGCAAGAAUCGAUGAAGAAGGAAUACUUCGUGUCAACUCCAAACUUUGUGUUCCUAACGAUUCUGACUUAAAGUAUAAAAUCAUGAUGGAGGCGCACAACACACCGUUUGUAAUCCAUCUUGGGAGUACCAAAAUGUAUCGUGAUCUUCGACAUACAUUUUGUUGGAGCAAUAUGAAGAGAGAGAUAGCGGGGUUUAUCUCAAGGUGUCUAACUUGUCAACGAGUCAAGGCGAAGCAUCAAGUGCCAAAAGGUCCAUUGCAACCACUUGAAAUUCUAGAAUGGAAAUGGGAGCACAUUACUAAUGAGAUAAAAUAUGUAACUGCAAGUGCACAGUGUCUAAUUGAAGAACUGGCAAGUACAUGUCGAACCCACAGAGACUAGAUUAAUUCUUUAAUAUAUCCUUAAUUAAUAUUUUAGGCAAAUUAGAAACAAAAAUGGUGGAGAAGAUUUUUUAACUAAAUUAUGCAAACUAUUAAUUAAUGACGAAAACUAUUAAUGAGAAAAGAUACCUAGGAAUUAGAAUCCACCAAAUAUUAACAUAAUAAAUAAUUUCUUAUUUCCUAAAUCAAUUCCCAAAUUAUUUUCCCUUCCCUUUAAAAAUAAUGAUUCAUAUAAUUAAUAUGGGCAAGCAUAAGUUAUGAAAAAUUCACAGAUUAACUAUAACUUAUCAAAACCUCGCAAUCAAUAUAAAAAUCAUAUGCAAUUUAUGCGGAGGAACAUAUAAAGGCAAAAAUAAUUAGACAUUAAUUUUGGAACGGAAAGAAAAUAUUUUUAUGAAAUAUUUAGUUUCAUCAUAUUCCUAGGUAUUAGAAAUUUAGCUAGCCAUGGAAUUAAAAACAAAAACAAAUAAUAUUAGUACUACUAAUCGCAUGAAAUAAGAACAAUAAUUAAAAAGAGAAUUUCUAUUAUAUAAAUAAAAGAAAGUGACAAAUACUCCCUGACAGUAGUACCACAACUGAUUAGAAUAAGAGAAAGGACAAACUCUAAAUAUCUUACUCCUUGCUACACUAGUAAGAAACUGAGAAAAAGAAAAUAACAAGUGGUGCCUUUCUCUCUAAAACAAGAUGCCUAUUUAUAGGAAAAAUAACUUUGAACCCUAAUUUAGAUUCAUUGAACUUGGACACUUUUGUUCCCUUUCUAUAUAGGAUUCAAUUUCCUAGUCGCAAUCAACUUCUCACAAAGAUCUUCUAGAUAAAGAGAUCUUCUAGAUUAACUUUCCUUUCUCUUGUUGGAUUUGAAUCGCACACUAAGAUUGUUCAACCUCUUUCCUUCUCCUUGUAGGAUUCUUCUUGGAUAUUCCUUAUAUGAAUAAGAGCAUUAAAUAUCGCUUGAUCACCAAGAUUUUGACUUUAUUGCAACAAAUAUUAAAUCCUACAAAAUAAAAUAAAAUAUAUUAAUUUAAUAAACUAAUAUAAUUAAAAGGAAAAAAUUAGGGAUAAUUAAAUGUAUGAAUUAUGUGUCUAUCAAUUACCAUGGAUUUCGUUACUGGUCUUCCCAAGGUUUCCCGAGGCAUAGAUACGAUUUGGGUCAUUGUUGAUAGAUUGACAAAGUCUGCUCAUUUCUUACCGAUACGAGAAACUUAUACACUUGAACAUCUUGCUAGUAUGUACAUAAAUGAGAUUGUAAGAUUGCAUGGUAUGCCAGUAUCUAUAGUUUCUGAUCGAGACCCAAGAUUCACUUCAAGAUUUUGGGUUAGUUUUCAAAAAGCUAUGGGCACGGAUUUACGAUUUAGUUCAGCAUAUCAUCCUCAAACGGAUGGGCAGUCAAAAAGGACUAUUCAAACUCUUGAAGAUUUAUUAAGACUCUGUGUCCUUGACUUCAAGGGAAGUUGGGACAAGUUCUUACCAUUGGUGGAGUUUUCCUACAACAAUAGUUAUCAAGCAAGUAUUCGCAUGGCUCCAUUUGAGCGCGUUGUAUGGAAGAAAGUGUUGUUCUCCAGUAUGCUGGGAUGAGGUGGGGGAAGCAAUGUUGUUAGGACCAGAGUUGGUACAUAUGACUACGAAAAAGAUUCAAACGAUUCGACAACGUAUAAAAAUCUCACAAGAUCGACAAAAGAGUUAUGCUGAUCUUCAUCAAAAGGACAUGGAAUUCAAUAUUAGAGAUCAUGUGUUGUUACGUGUUGCUCCAUGGAAAGGAGUUACGAGAUUUGGAAAGAGAGAAAAGCUCAAUCCUCGAUUCAUUGGACCAUUUUUAAUCCUCGGUCGAGUAGGAACUGUGGCCUAUAGACUCGCCUUACCACCAAGUAUGUCUCGUGUUCAUAACGUUUUUCACAUAUCUAUGUUACGUAAAUAUGUGAAAGACCUGAAUCACAUUAUUGAAUUAGAACCAGACGAGAUAGAGGAAGAUUUAAAGUAUGAAGAGUUACCUAUUAAAAUCUUGGAUAAGAAGGAUCAUAUUCUACGCUCCAAGGUUAUACCUCAAGUCAAAGUUUUGUGGAGAAACCACGAUGUGGAAGAAAUGACCUGGGAGUUAGAAUCUGAGAUGAAGUCAAGAUAUCUUCACCUAUUUGAUAUACCAGGUAUAUACCCUAAUUUCGAGGAUGAAAUUUCAUAAGAAGGGGAGGUUGUAAGACCCCAACUUUUAUGAAUAAAGAAUAUUUUUCUCGAAAUAUAUUUUUGAAUAUUAUGGUGUGGAUUUGAUAUAAUGUUAUAGUUGUGGGUAAUAUUUAUAAACUUUGCAAAGUAAGCAAGUGGUUAUAUAAUAUUCGAUUGGUCGGGGAAUAUUCGUUUUAACAGAAAAUAUUCGUACAACGGCACAAUCAUUGGUGGGCCCUACAACGGAAGUAUUGUCGUAGUUAGAAAACGACAGAAUUAUCUUUUUAUAAAAAUAACGGCAAAAGUGUUACGGUUAAAACUGUUGAACUACUCGGUAGUAAAAGUACAGUAAUACGCGUGGUUGCAUAGUAGCACACGGUAUUGAUUAUUGAUGCUUACGUGAGAAGUCACUCAGUUAUACUCAAUUAUUGCUANNNNNNNNNNNNNNNNNNNNNNNNNNNNNNNNNNNNNNNNNNNNNNNNNNNNNNNNNNNNNNNNNNNNNNNNNNNNNNNNNNNNNNNNNNNNNNNNNNNNNNNNNNNNNNNNNNNNNNNNNNNNNNNNNNNNNNNNNNNNNNNNNNNNNNNNNNNNNNNNNNNNNNNNNNNNNNNNNNNNNNNNNNNNNNNNNNNNNNNNNNNNNNNNNNNNNNNNNNNNNNNNNNNNNNNNNNNNNNNNNNNNNNNNNNNNNNNNNNNNNNNNNNNNNNNNNNNNNNNNNNNNNNNNNNNNNNNNNNNNNNNNNNNNNNNNNNNNNNNNNNNNNNNNNNNNNNNNNNNNNNNNNNNNNNNNNNNNNNNNNNNNNNNNNNNNNNNNNNNNNNNNNNNNNNNNNNNNNNNNNNNNNNNNNNNNNNNNNNNNNNNNNNNNNNNNNNNNNNNNNNNNNNNNNNNNNNNNNNNNNNNNNNNNNNNNNNNNNNNNNNNNNNNNNNNNNNNNNNNNNNNNNNNNNNNNNNNNNNNNNNNNNNNNNNNNNNNNNNNNNNNNNNNNNNNNNNNNNNNNNNNNNNNNNNNNNNNNNNNNNNNNNNNNNNNNNNNNNNNNNNNNNNNNNNNNNNNNNNUUAUUAUUCUGUUGGAAUAACCUGUCUGUGCGGUCUAUCGCAUGCCUGGUGAAUUCUGUUGUUAUUCCAUUCUUUAUUAUUCUGUUGGAAUAUCCUGUCUGUGUGGAUUACGCAUGACCUGGUUUCAUUCUUUAUUAUUCUGUUGGAAUAUCCUGUCUGUGCGGAUUACGCAUGACCUGGUUCUAUUCUUUAUUAUUCUGUUGGAAUAACCUGUAUGUGCGGUCUAUCGCAUGCAUGGUGAAUUCUUCUGUUAUUCCAUUAUUUAUUAUUCUGUUGGAAUAACCUAUCUAUGUGGAUUACCACAUGCAUGGGGAAUGAUCCUUCGUAUUCAUUCCUUAUUAAAUUGUGGAAAUGAUCUUUCUACAUGGAUUACUGCAUGGCGGGAGAAAAUCCAUUUGCAGUUUUAUAUAUUCUAUUAUACUCAGUUGGUUAAAGUUUUGGCUUCUAUACUCCAUAAAAUUAAUGGAAUAUCCUUGAUAUUUGCGCUUCAUAUAGUAUCUUUUCAUGGAAAUGUUCUUCUGAGCAUUCUUGAAUUUUACUCUACAAAGCAGUAUCAUGUUGACAAUUUGGACAUUAUUGAUUUCUGGAUAAAUUAAAUUAUAAAUCUUUAAAAUUUAUCCUUGAACUUCUUUUAUUGAAUUAUUAUGUCAUUGUCAUCAUCCCCAUGCUUAUAUUGUAACGACCCCAAAAUUCAUUCAAUAUAAUUCUCAGCUUCGGUCGUUAAUAACACAUCUACCUUCUGAUUUUACAUCAUUAUUCGAUGUUAAACUUUAUAUAAUGCGGAAUAAUUUAAACUUUUAUGUAUUUUUUUUACUUUAAUUCCCUGAAUCAAAACCUUUAUCAUCUACAUGUUUUUGAAUCAAUCUUAUUUUAUGAUUCACUUUAUCACUGUUAUUAUAUAAAACUUUACAUUUCAAUCCGAUAACCUGUACAUAUCAGAUAACUCUAACAUUAGCUUUACAACUCAACAUAAAAUUAUACAUCAUAAAACAUUUAGUACAUCUCAUGAAUCUUAAUCAUGGUAUAAAGGAAUAACAACAUUAGCUAAAAUGUAAAUCUUCGUGAAUUAUUUGUGAUCCACGUCAUUCAAGUAGCACAUAGUGUUACCUUCAAUCCUUAACCUGCAAAAAUGGUUAUUUACAAGGUUGAGCUCGACAGCCCAGCAAAAUCUAACAAUUUUCAUGCAUCACAUAGCACAUAAUAACAUGCUCAACAUAUAUGUGAGACCCCAAAGUUUAUGAAUAAAGAUUUAAAUUUCUCAAUUUUUUUUUUAAUAUUAUGAUGUGGAUUUGAUAUAAUGUUAUAGUUGUGGGUAAUAUUUAUAAAUUUUGCAAAGUACGCAAGUUGUUAUAUAAUAUUCAAUUGGUCGGGGAAUAUUCGUUUUAACAGGGAAUAUUCGUAUGGCGACACAAUCAUUGGUGGACCCCACAAUGAAAUUAUUAUCGGAUUGAGAAAACGACAAAAAUAUUUUUAUGAAAAUAACGACGGAAGUUUUACAGUUAAAACUGUUGAGCUACUCGGUAGUAAAAGUACAGUAAUAUGCGUGGUUUCAUAGUAGUACACGGUAUUGAUUAUUGAUGCUUACGUGAGAAGUCAAUCAGUUUUGUUCAAUUAUUGCUACAGUAAUUGUUGCAUAGUAUCUCACGUUAUUUGAUUCAAUUAUUGUCGAUAUUAUAUAUAUUAUUAAAUCAAUAAUUGAGACGACGAAGUUAUUAAUAUUAUUAUUUGCAAUAUUAACGAUGUCUAGAAGUUCUACCAAGGAGAGGUUUGGUCACCUAAUUGCGCGCCAAUAGGGAGAAAUCCUUAUUGGAAAGCCCCCUCUUUCCUGGGAACGACCCGGUCGAUUAAUAGUGUAAAUAAUAAUAAUGAUGAUGAGUUUUGUUUUAUUAGUAUUAUUAAUGUAAUAAAANNNNNNNNNNNNNNNNNNNNNNNNNNNNNNNNNNNNNNNNNNNNNNNNNNNNNNNNNNNNNNNNNNNNNNNNNNNNNNNNNNNNNNNNNNNNNNNNNNNNNNNNNNNNNNNNNNNNNNNNNNNNNNNNNNNNNNNNNNNNNNNNNNNNNNNNNNNNNNNNNNNNNNNNNNNNNNNNNNNNNNNNNNNNNNNNNNNNNNNNNNNNNNNNNNNNNNNNNNNNNNNNNNNNNNNNNNNNNNNNNNNNNNNNNNNNNNNNNNNNNNNNNNNNNNNNNNNNNNNNNNNNNNNNNNNNNNNNNNNNNNNNNNNNNNNNNNNNNNNNNNNNNNNNNNNNNNNNNNNNNNNNNNNNNNNNNNNNNNNNNNNNNNNNNNNNNNNNNNNNNNNNNNNNNNNNNNNNNNNNNNNNNNNNNNNNNNNNNNNNNNNNNNNNNNNNNNNNNNNNNNNNNNNNNNNNNNNNNNNNNNNNNNNNNNNNNNNNNNNNNNNNNNNNNNNNNNNNNNNNNNNNNNNNNNNNNNNNNNNNNNNNNNNNNNNNNNNNNNNNNNNNNNNNNNNNNNNNNNNNNNNNNNNNNNNNNNNNNNNNNNNNNNNNNNNNNNNNNNNNNNNNNNNNNNNNNNNNNNNNNNNNNNNNNNNNNNNNNNNNNNNNNNNNNNNNNNNNNNNNNNNNNNNNNNNNNNNNNNNNNNNNNNNNNNNNNNNNNNNNNNNNNNNNNNNNNNNNNNNNNNNNNNNNNNNNNNNNNNNNNNNNNNNNNNNNNNNNNNNNNNNNNNNNNNNNNNNNNNNNNNNNNNNNNNNNNNNNNNNNNNNNNNNNNNNNNNNNNNNNNNNNNNNNNNNNNNNNNNNNNNNNNNNNNNNNNNNNNNNNNNNNNNNNNNNNNNNNNNNNNNNNNNNNNNNNNNNNNNNNNNNNNNNNNNNNNNNNNNNNNNNNNNNNNNNNNNNNNNNNNNNNNNNNNNNNNNNNNNNNNNNNNNNNNNNNNNNNNNNNNNNNNNNNNNNNNNNNNNNNNNNNNNNNNNNNNNNNNNNNNNNNNNNNNNNNNNNNNNAAUGUUACAAAUGAUGUGGUAAAAGUCCUCAUUGGCCCGUAGUGCAUUGAUGGACAGUUGUUGGCAUGAUCAUGACCAUUGAUGAAUACACGAAUAUCCUUGGCCCGUAGUGUAUGGAUAAUUUGUGGUCAUGAUACUAAUGAAUAUCCUUGGCCGUAGUGCAGGGAUGAUGUGGAUUAUUUAUUAAGCUGAGUUCCAGCGAAAAAAGUGAUGAAAAACCUUUUAAAUCAUAAAAGAUAGUAUAUUUUAUUCUCUACUUGACUAUUCUAAUGGAUUUCUUGUUCCGCUGCAGUUAAACUUGAUGUCUAUUAUAUUUUAUCAGUUUAACAUUGUUGAAGAUUAAUGAUCAUUUAUUCUGCAUUAUCUUAGUCAUAAUAUUUCUUCUAGGCUAGUUGAGCUCACCCUUUCUUUCACUGUUCUCUUCAGGAAAUGGGAACGUAGCCGGGACUAGUCGAGGAACAGAGUGAUGGUCCGAGAUGGUGUCUUAGUAGUCCUCACUAUUCUAUAAAAUAGUGUGAUAAUAAAUGUAAUGAGAACUUAUUCUGAGAGUAGAUAUUGUCUAGAAGACAAUAUUUGUAUUAAAACUCAUAGCUCUUGUUGUUUAUUUAAGAUUGUAUUUGUUUUCUAUACCAUGUAUUUGGCGACUCAGAAUAGGAGAUGUAUACCUAUUUUGGGGGCGACACAAUAUAUCUCAUAAACAUUGGACUAACAUAACAUACAUGUUACAGUUCAUAUAACAAGUAUAAAGAUUAAGUUUCGUACUCAAUCAGCAUUCUUUACUAAAUCAACGUAGUCAUAAGUUGACUUUAACAUUUCAUACAUUCAACAUAUAGAUAACACAUCAUGCUCUUUGCAAUAAAGAUUUAAAACAAUCAAAUUCACAUAGCAAAUAGGAACUGAAAGACUUGCCUUAAUCGUUGUUUACCAAUAACAGUUUAACAGCUUACAGAUAUCUGCACUUCACGUGCCCUACACAAUUAUAUAAUCAUUCACAUUAACUAUUAGUCACAUAACAACGCAUAGUAGUUGUAAUGUAAACUUUAAUUUACGUCUCAUAACCCUUCCUAUCAUAAAUACACAAUGUUCAAUUUGAUUAUGCUAACUUUCGAUUUAUAUCUCACUAUAUUUCAUAUUCAAAGUUCAUUCAAGUGUUUAAGUCUUGAUAGGAAUAAUUACUGGUUUUAUAUUAAACCCAUUUCAUAUCUUAUAAUAUUCAUUUCAUUAGACUUAAAACACUUUUUAUGUUCAUUAUCACUUAUCACGGCAUUUCGACGUUUAUUCAUCACACACCCAAUUUGGCUCUCUUGUGUGUGCUUAGUAUGUGUAUAAAUCUUAUCUAAUAUAUAUCAUUUAUUAAUUUUAAGCAUCAUUAUACUUCAUAGUAUUCAUGUUCUAUAACUUAGAACAACAUCUUUUAUCAUUAAGAGCACUACACUUGCAUACGUGCAUGCCCGACGCCCUCCGAUUGCCUCCGAAAACACAAUAGUCUUAAAAAUGACCAUUUUGACCCUUUUUAAAACCUCAAAUUAAACAAAUUAAAGAAUGAAAGUUGUAGGUCUAUUCGUCCUCGUUCCUGAUCAUCUUGAAUCACCUCAAUUGGAGUUUAUAUGAAAACGUUAUGACCAUUUUACCAAAAUAGGUCAAAGCAGUCACACCUUGCACACUAGGCGCGCGGCCGCUCCCCUUUUCUUCACAAAUACCGUGCGCCCGUGCGACUUGGUAGCGCCCAGCUUCAUGCCUGCGCGCGCGCCCGGCUUCGCACAGAAACAGUUUCCUCAAUGCACAAACAUCAAAUCUUCAUAACUUCUUCAUUUAAAGUCAGAAUUAGUUGGUUUUUGAUUCUAUGAACUCCUGAAACACUGAACAACUCAUAUACAGAGUAAUUUUAACAUUUCAAAAACUUUAAAAAAUCAAUUUAAGGUUUCCAAUUCAAUGUUCAUGCUAUAUUUUCAUGUUUUAAACACAUUUAGCGAAUUCGAUUGUCACGGCUUCGUUUCUUAACCAAUUAACACGAUUUAAACUACGCCGUUUUCGUUUCUUAAUAUACUAACAUAAUCCAAAAUCAAUUUACAGAUUAUAAUAAGUAUUGACCACGAAAUUUUGUACUUUCUAAAGCUAAUUUUCAUGUAAAAACACUGUUAUAAACUUUUCUCCCUAUAAACCCAAAUUUCAUGAAGUUAAUCAUCAAAUAACACUCACAAUUGAUAAUUAGCAGAUUAUAACAACAUACAUACAUGUAUAAAUCCAAUAUAACUACCAAUUUACAGUAGAUAAUCACUAAGAAAUCAAAACCUAGACAUUAGUAGAAAUUUAUACCUUAAAUCCUUGAUUGUUAGGAAGAAGAAUAAUAAAAACCUUGAUACUCCAACUCUUUAGCAACAUAAACAGAGAAUCACUCUCUUCCUCCCAACUCUCUUUCUCUGCUCUAAGGCUUAGGAGAAAGAAAUAAUAAGCGUAAAAAAAAUACUAACUCCCACUAACAUCGGGUCACAAACCCAAAAGUUUGCAUCAGUUAGAAAUAAGUCAAAGGCCACAGGGCCUUGUUUGGCUAACCCCAAAUCUCCUCUACUAGAUUAUUUUAUAUUAUUUUUAUUAUAUAAUUUUUAUUUGUCACACUUGUCACCAACUUAAAUAUUUUACAAUAAUAAUUAUAAUGAUUAUAAUUUUAUUAUAAUUAUUCUGAUAAUUAAUAAAUAAUUAUAUAUCUAAUUUAAUUAAUAAAUUAGAAACAUCACUUUAUUUAAUUUAUUUAUUUCUAAAUAAAUUAAACAAUUCAUUUAAUUUAAUUAUUUCCUUAAAUUAAAUCCUUCAGAUAAAAUUAUCAUUACUCAAUUUAAUUUAUAUUAAUCAAUUUAGUUACUAAAUUAAUUCACCACAAUUUUAUCAACCAUUUAUUUAUCUCAAUAAAUAAAUAAAUUUAACAUAUUUAUUUAAUUCAAUAAAUAUUUAAAAUUAAUUACUAAAUUCAUUUAAUUCCUUCAAUAGUUAACUUAACUAUUAAACCUCACUUUCCCAAUAUAUGAAUAUAUAUUUCUCUUCACACCAGAUCAUAUAUUUCAACAUAUAUAGCACAUAUAUAUACAUACUAAAACUCAAAACAUCUCAUAAUAAUAAUUUUAAUUAUUAAAUUCUUAUUUUAAUAAUUUAUAAAAAUUUAGGUUGUCACAUUUUUCCCUCCUUAUAAGGAUUUUCGUUAAUAACACAUCUAACUUCUGAUUUUACAUCAUUAUUCGAUGUUAAACUUUAUAUAAUGCGGAAUAAUUUAAUCUUUUAUGCCUUUUUUUUACUUUAAUUCCCUGAAUCAAAACCUUUAUCAUCUACAUAUUUUUUAAUCAAUCUUAUUUUAUGAUUCACUUUAUCACUGUUAUUAUUUAAACUUUACAUUUCAAUCCGAUAACCUUUACAUAUCAGAUAACUCUAACAUUAGCUUUACAACUCAACAUAAAACUAUAUAUCAUAAAACAUUUAGUACAUCUCAUGAAUCUUAAUCAUGGUAUAAAGGAAUAACAACAUUAGCUAAAAUAUAAAUCUUCGUGAAUUAUUUCUGAUCCACAUCAUUCAAGUAGCAUAUAGUGUUACCUUCAAUCCUUAACCUGCAAAAAUGGUUAUUUACAAGGUUGAGCUCGACAGCCCAGCAAAAUCUAACAGUUUUCAUGCAUCACGUAGCACAUAAUAACAUGCUAACAUAUAUCUCAUAAACAUUGGACUAACAUAACAUACAUGUUAUAAGUCAUAUAACAAGUAUAAAGAUUGAGUUCCGUACUCAAUCAGCAUGCUUUACUAAAUCAACGUAGUCAUAAGUUGACUUUAACAUUUCAUACAUUCAACAUAUAUAUAACACAUCAUGCUCUUUGUGAUAAAGAUUUAAACCAAUCAAAUUCACACAGCAAAUAGGAACUGAAAGACUUGCCUUGAUCGUUGUUUACCAAUAACAGUUUAACAGCUUACAGAUAUCUGCACUUCACGUGCCCUACACAAAUAUAUAAUCAUUCACAUUAACUAUUAGUCACAUAGCAACGCAUAGUAGUUGUAAUGUAAACUUUAAUUUACGUCUCAUAACCCUUCCUAUCAUAAAUACACAAUAUUCAAUUUGAUUGUGUUAACUUUUGACUUAUAUCUCACUAUAUUUCAUAUUUGAAGUUCAUUCAAGUGUUUAAGUCUUGAUAGGAAUCAUUAUUGGUUUUAUAUUAAACCCAUUUCAUAUCUUAUAAUAUUCAUUUCAUUAGACUUAAAACACUUUUUAUGUUCAUUAUCACUUAUCACGGCGUUUUGACGUUUAUUCAUCACACGCCCAAUUGGCUCUCUUAUGUGUGCUUAGUAUGUGUACAACUUAUCUAAUAUAUCAUUUAUUAAUGUUAAGCAUCAUUAUACUUCAUAAUAUUCAUGUUCUAUAACUUAGAACAACAUCUUUUAUCGUCAAAAGCACUACACUUGCAUACGUGCAUGCCUGACGCCCUCCGAUUGCCUCCGAAAACACAAUAGUCUUAAAAAUGACCAUUUUGACCCUUCUUAAAACCUCAAAUUAAAAACCUUAAAGAAUGAAAGUUGUAGGUCUAUUCGUCCUCGUUCCUGAUCAUCUUGAAUCACCUCAAUUGGAGUUUGUAUGAAAACGUUAUGACCAUUUUACCAAAAUAGGUCAAAGCAGUCACACCUUGCACACUAGGAGCGCGGCUGCGCCCCUUUUCUUCACAAAUACCGCGCGCUGGCACGACUUGGCAGCGCCCAGCUGCGUACCCAUGCCCGGCUUCGCACAGAAAUAGUUUCUUCAAUGUACAAACUUCAAAUCUUCAUAACUUCUUCAUUUUAAGUCGGAAUUAGUUAGUUUUUGAUUCUAUGAACUCGUGAAACACUGAACUACUCAUCUACAGAGUAAUUUUAACAUUUCAAAAACUUUAACAAAUCAGUUUAAGGUUUCCAAUUCAAUGUUCAUGCUAUAUUUUCAUGUUUUAAACACAUUUAGCGAAUUCGAUCGUCACAGCUUCGUUUCUUAACCAAUUAACACGAUUUAAACUACGCCGUUUUUGUUUCUUAAUAUACUAACAUAAUCCAACAUCAAUUUACAGAUUAUAACAAGUAUUAACCACGAAAGUGUGUACUUUCUAAAGCUAAUUUUCAUGUAAAAACACUGUUAUAAACUUUUCUCCCUAUAAACCCAAAUGUCAUGAAGUUAAUCAUCAAAUAACACCCACAAUUGAUAAUUAGCAGAUUAUAACAACAUACAUACAUGUAUAAAUCCAAUAUAACUACCAAUUUACAGUAGAUAAUCACUAAAAAAUCAAAACCUAGACAUUAGUAGAAAUUUAUACCUUAAAUCCUUGAUUGUUGGGAAGAAGAAUAAUAAUAACCUUGAUACUCCAACUCUUUAGCAACAUAAACAGAGAAUCACUCUCUUCCUCACAACUCUCUUUCUCUGCUCUAAAAGCUUAGGAGAAAGAAAUAAUAAGCGUAAAAAAAAUACUAACUCCCACUAACGUCAGGUCACAAACCCAAAAGUUUGCGUCAGUUAGAAAUAAGUCAAAGGCCACAGGGCCUUGUUUGGCUAAUCCCAAAUCUCCUCUACUAGAUUAUUUUAUAUUAUUUUUAUUAUAUAGUUUUUAUUUAUCACACUUGCCACCAACUUAAAUAGCUUACAAUAAUAAUUAUAAUAAUUAUAAUUUUAUUAUAAUUAUUCUGAUAAUUAAUAAAUAAUUAUAUAUCUAAUUUAAUUAAUAAAUUAGAAACAUCACUUUAUUUAAUUUAUUUAUUUCCAAAUAAAUUAAACAAUUCAUUUAAUUUAAUUAUUUUCUUAAAUAUUAAGCAAUUGAUUUAAUUUAAUUAUUUCCUUAAAUUAAAUCCUUCAGAUAAAAUUAUCAUUACUCAAUUUAAUUUACAUUAAUCAAUUUAGUUACUAAAUUAAUUCACCAUAAUUUUAUCAACCAUUUAUUUAUCUCAAUAAAUAAAUAAAUUUAAAAUAUUUAUUUAAUUCAAUAAAUAUUUAAAAUUAAUUACUAAAUUCAUUUAAUUCCUUCAAUAGUUAACUUAACUAUUAAACCUCACUUUUCCAAUAUAUGAAUAUAUAUUUCUCUUCACACCAGAUCAUAUAUUUCAACAUAUAUAGCACGUAUAUAUACAUACUCAAACUCAAAACAUCUCAUAAUAAGAAUUUUAAUUAUUAAAUUAUUAUUUUAAUAAUUUAUAAAAAUUCGGGUUGUCACAUAUAUUGUGAUUAAAGUCAUCUUUGGCUUACGUGCAUAGAUGGACUUGGUAUGAUUAUGACCAGGGAUUAUUCGGUAUAAUCAUAUGACCGUAAUGUGAUGAAUGAUGUGGUAAAAGUCCUCAUUGGCCUGUAGUUCAUUGAUGGACAGUUGUUGGUAUGAUUAUGACCAGGGAUUAUUCCGUAUAAUCAUGACCAUUGAUGAUUACAUGAAUAUCCUUGGCCGUGGUGCGUGGAUGAGGUGGUUUAUUUAUUAAGCUGAGUCUCUGCAAUAAAGUUGAUGAAUUUUUUUUAAAUCAUAGAAAAUAGUAGAUUUUAUGCUCUACUUGACUCUUCUAAUGGAUUGCAUGUUCCAUUGCAGUUAAACUUGUUGUCUAUUAGAUUAUAUCAGUUUAACAUUAUUGAAGGCUAAUGAUAAUUUAUUCUGUAUUAUCUUAGUCAUAAUAUUUCUUACUGGGCUAGUUGAGCUAACCCUUCGCUUUCAUUGUUCUCUUCAGGAAAUGAGAAUAUAGCUGGGACUAGUCGGGGAACGGAGUGACGGUCCAGAUGAUAGCAGUAGUAGUCCUCACUAUUCUGUUAAAUAGUGUUAUAAUAAAUGUAAUGAGGACUCCAUUGAGUGUGGAUAUUGUCUAGAUGACAAUAUUCUUAUUAAAACUCUUAUAUUAUGUUUUGUCGUAUUUUACACGACUGUUGUAUAAUUAAGUUGUAUUUUAUUCGAGAUGGGUGAUGUAUAUCUAUUUUGGGGGCUUCACAACUUAUCCUUCCUUAGUGUCUCCAGCACUAUUCUUAGGUGUUCAGCAUGAUCUUCUGGCAUCUUAGAAUAGACUAGAAUAUCAUUUGUUAGGAAUAGGUAUGUGAAUGAUAUUCCUAUUUACAUAUGGUUUGAUUAUAAUAUAUAUAUGAAUGAAUAUGCAAGUAUGCUUGCAUUAAGAAAAGUUGUAAAGUCCUUUGAUAGGUUAUAGAUACAUAUGUACAAGGACUUAAAAUGAAUUGAUCAAAUAUGUUAGGUUGAUCCUACAUAAGCAAAACAGCUUUGUAAAGUCCUUAAAAAAAGAAAUGAUGUACAAGGACUAUAAAUAUAGAAAGAUCAAACAUGUUAGGUUGAUCUUAUGAUGUAAUAGAUAAGCUUGUCUGGUCGUCGAGCACUGCACCAGAAAUCGUAGUCUGCCAAGAGAGUCAAGGAAAACUCGAGAGCUAUCGAGGCAGAAUCGUAGUCUGCAAGACAGUAGAUCUUGAAGUUCGUAGACUUCUAGGAGAGACGAGGAAGGAUUGUAGUGUGUCGAGGAGUACUUCCUCAGAGCCGUAGUCUGCUGAGGAGGUCAUGUUCAGAAUCGUAGAGAUAGCCUGCCUACGAGCCGACCGAGCAUCUGUCGAAGCCAAGUCAAGAAUCGUAGACUACACUCGGAGUCGUAGAGUCUACUGAUGUCAAAGCCAAGUAAAGAAUCGUAGACUACACUCAGAGUUGUAGAGUCUGCAGAUCAUAUCAGAGGCAGAGAUCGUAGUCGAGCAAGAUCAGAUGAAGACAACAAGCACAACGACAGAAAUUGUAGAGUGUCAAGAUCUGAUCUCGGAGUCGUAGUGUCUGCACAGCCGAAGCUGAAUCGUAGAGUGCAGAACUAAGACCUCAACAGAUGUGCUCACAAUGCCAAGCCAGAAUCGUAAUGCAAAUAUGAUUCUCAACAAAUGAGCACUCCCAGAAUAUCCAAAGGAAUGAAGCCUCUGGUUGGUACUGUAAGGAUACAUCUCACCUAAAGGAAGCCAGAGAGCACUCAACGAAUGACAUGCAAGCUAUUAGAAAAUCUAAGCAUCAACUUAAUCAGCAUCCAGAUUGAGUUGUGAAGCCAUUCAUGAUAAAGUCUUCCACAAGAUGAUCAUAAGAAGACUUUAGCAGCUGACUAAGGAAAGUCAGCUUGUGCAGUAGCUGUUAAAUAGAAAGAUGACAAUGAUCUUGGAAGUAACUAGGAUCGUAGUGUUUGCCAAACGAAGAAGGAACUAAUGGAGUAUAUACAAAGAUACUGGUCUGCCUCUGAAGAACAAGGCUAAAGUGAUUAAGCUUUGGGUCUGUCUAUUGAUAAUAAGUGAACGGGAGAUCACAAGGAGAAAGCGAGCUGGACACGCCACAAACCUGAAGUGUCUUAUUAUUUAGAAGGGGCCAGAGCAAGGAGUCAAGCCAUCAGUAUCUGAGAACAGUUGAGGCAAAAGAAGGAAGAAUUGCUUUUCACUAGAGAUAAAGUGAACGCUCUUCAAGAUCAUAGUGUUGACUCUACAUGUCAAUAAGCAUCAGUCAAUAAGACACUACGAUCAGGUCCAAGAAGUUAUGCAUCAGAAUCAUAGAGUUCGAACAACUGAGGAUUGAAGCAUUGGCAACGGUUCAAUCUGAAGGUUGGUAAUCGGACAAGAGCUUAUUAAGAGCAUCGAUGCAAAAGGACAACCUUUGAUCUAGAAAUCAGAAGGGGGAAAUAAAGUCGUUGACAUGCCCGAGACAUCAAAGUAACAUCUCUAACGGGGUAGGUGAAAUAUUAGACUGCAGUGUCAGAAAGUCAUGUCAUGUCACAUCUGCAGUCUACACCAAACAACUCGAGAUCUGUGUAGCAAUUUGAAUAGCUCUCAACGGCUACUUUCCAACGGGAAGAUUGACAAGGAGUUUAAAUCAGAAAGAGCUUCAAAGAUCAAGGGUUGCUGGAGUUCCUGAGUUUAGAGAAGUGGUGGACUGAUCUAACCAACGUAAAUAGUGAGUGACCAAUGAAGGUCUGAAGACUCACUCUACGAUCCACCAAGAACACUUAGAGACAGAAAAAUAAAGAAGUAGAAGUGAGAGUUCUACUAUAAAAAGAGUGUUCUGAACUGUCGGGUGAUAGAAGAGCAUCAAUGUCAUCUUGAUGUCCAUCAUGAGAAGACUCUAAGUACCAUAGAGAAGAGCUCACAGUCAUCUUAGUAAGUCCAUCAUGAGAAGGCAUCAAGUAUCAAGAAAGAAUAUCACCAAUGCCAUCAUGGUGGCAAGCAUGAGAAAGUUUCUAAGUACCUAGCAGAAGAGCUUACAGUCAUCUUAGAAACCCAUCAUGUGCAGCCAUCAAGUAUCAAGAGGAAUGAUCUUCAAGGUAGUUCAUCAAGGGAUCAUCAGAAGUGGUUGAGUUACCGAAGAAGCUGAACAUCAUGCAACACUCAACUGCACUUCAAGAAUGAUCACGCCAAGCUGCUAAGUACAAAAGAUGUUAAGAGCUUAAAGAUAUCUUAGCAGCUCUACACCAACAACAGCAACAACUACAACAACAAGAAGCCAGGGCCUGAGGGGUCCUUGUCUGGAGAGACUAAAUGAAGUUCCAAGCCUGCUGGGCUUGAAGAGUUCCUAGGGAACUAGAGAAGUUCCGAGGCUGCUGGCCUUGAAGAGUUCUUAGUGAACUGAAGUCCAAAGGCUGCUAGUGUUGAAGGAAUCAUAGUGAUUCAGGGUGCUACCCUUCCUUAGUGGAAAUCCUGCUAGUUGAAAAUAGAAGAGUGGAUUAGGAGCUUGAGUCUCUGAGCCACUUAAAACCUCUUGUGUCUUUUACUUUAUAUCAUUUACAUUAUAUAUAUUAACUGCUAUAACGGCUAUGUAUGUUUUAACUGCUUACCAUUGAACUAACUCUGCGAACAAUGUAUAUAUGAUUAUGAUUAUAUCAAUGAAGGGGAUCUUUUACUUAUUCCGAUGUGCUUGAAAAGAUUCUUAUGUUUGUCAUAUGCUAAAUUAUUAGCAAUACAAAAUAAACCAUAAAAGUAUUUAAAAUUAAAAAGGAUCUAUUCAACCCCCCCCCCCUUCUAGAUCUAUUGUGCCUACUGGGAACUAACAAUUGGUAUCAGAGCAGGUUCUCAUGCUAUUUUCAAAAGCUAAUCUCUUUGAGUCUGAUCCUAGGCACAAACAUUGCUCUAAACUUAGUUUAGUAGUAAGUCACUUGUUAUAUGCAGAUGAGCUCACAUGUUGGAAAUAUUGUGUACAGGUAAAUGUGUAUAUACACCUGAAGCUGCUCAGAUUGGUCCAUGCUCUUGAUUGUCAUAUACAAGACCAAUUCUUGUCUGUGGUCAAUCUUGUAGUCUGAAGACCAGGCUAGGAAGCUCUAGAGACAUGAACAGAAAAGAGUCAAACAUCCACUAGGCUGAAAAGAUGAAAAGGCCAUACAUGCAAAGAAAUGCUCAUCCAGAGAAGAAAGAAGAACUUCUCAAACAUGUGUCUGGCCAACCAGUAGCUGGAUGUAAACCUUGUGAACUCAAGGAUGCCGAAGAACUGAAGAUGUUGAGAUUCUCUUAGCUUACAUCCUCAAGAUCAUGACUGAUUGAUUGAAGGUCAACUGGAGCAACAAGCUGUCAGGAGCAAAUGAGAAACUAUGCACAUCAAUGCCUAAUCUCAGUAUGUCAAAGUUAAAUGACUGUUAAGGAACUAAUAGUAGAAAGGUACGGUUCCUCACUAGUAUAACUGUGUACAUCAUAUUGCACCUCCUUAUGAACUAUGACAAUAUUCUUUCAAGUAAUCAUAAUCUACCUAAAAAGGUGAAGAGAGAAAGUACAAUGAGGGUGGAAACUCAAAUGCCUAUAAACUUUAUCUCCAUCCAAGUUUUAGGUUGAAGAUGACAUCAUGAAAGAAAUCUGAAAUGGGUCAUAAGAGCAUCACAUGUUAAAUUAAUUUUAUGUGAAGUAAUCUUUGUUGAUGGGUUAGUAUGUAUGUACAACCUAUGUUCUAAGUGUUUAAUAACACAUAGAGUAUGAUCAGUUCUACAAGAGUAUCUUGAAGAUUCGUAGAAACUGAUCACCUCCAUGAAUCAACCAGAUACAAAUAAAUCGUAGAGUUGAUUCUCACUUUGAACAUUUAAACCCUGUGAACAUAACCUAGAAAAUGAUGAAACCAUCAAAGAAAAAGAGUGUUUUAUUAAAAUAGCAAAUCUUACACACACUCACCAUUAUCAUGCAUCUCAAAAUGUAUUAUCUAAAUUAGUUACAUGCAUGAAUAUGACUGUUGGUGAUCAAUAUGAUGAUUAUCCAAAUAGAUGAGGAACAGGGGUUUAGAAAACUAACCUAGCAGGACCCAUCUAACCAUGGGUACCAAAAAUUGAAAUUCAUAACCUGCAGGUAUUUGGUCUAUCUGGCCACACUAAGGAAUGCUAAGUAGAAGAUUUUAGUCAAGAAGAUUCAACUAGCAGAAGGCUUAAGACUAUUCAGAAAUGAGUCUGAUAAAACUCCUAUAUGUCAAAGCCUGUCCUUGAAGACCUGCUGAGCUGAUCUGAAUAAAGCUCACAUGGCUGCUGAUCUUUAUAUAGAAGCAGGCCAUUCAACCAAAGAUGAAAAAGGGUCUUAGAUUCUUAAUCAUACAAAGCAUGUAAUAAUAGAAGAAUCCUCACGAAGCUCACCACAGAGGAUCAUCGAGCAUCAAACAUGAGGAACUCAUUACGAGAGCAAAACUCCACAAGUACAAACUAUAAAAGAAGACUACGUUCGUAGUGCUGUCAAAUGAUCGUAGAAUGAUCAGUCCUGGAGAUAUCCUUGUCUACGAUGUAAACAAAUUUGACUGUCAGUGGCAAUUCCAGUCAGAAGGAGAUAUGCAGGGAUGCUUCCUAAUGCACAUGAAGAAAAAGAAAUCAUACCUCACUAAGAAGAUAGUAUAAACAUAGGGAAGCAAUGAUCUGAUAAGAAACAACAGAACUGAGAUAUACUAUGAAGCAGCGUACCAGCUAUAGAGUCCCAAAUCUUUGUGGCUGAUGAACGAAAUGAAGAUCCGUAGUCAGUAGGAACGUCUCAAAACGUACUACUGAUAACCUAUCAGUCACCCAACUCAAAAUCGUGGAGUGCCUACGAUCAAACAUCUGAUCGUAGUGUAAGAGCAGGAGAACACCACGAUUACAGCAAAUGCAAUUGUCUAAAGUUGGAAGAGGAACUCCCCAGUAGAAAAGGUCAAAUGAGAUAUCAGUGCAAAUCGUUUCUAAAAGUAUUUCAUCUAGAAAGCGCCUCAGGGACAAACCUGACCCUUAGCUCACUCUAAGAGGUUGGCCCUUCGUGAGCUACCUUAACCCAGAAGGAUUGCUUAGCCAAGUUCAUCUCAAGGACCAAGAUAGUCAACGAUCGUAGAGUAAAGGUAGAAGUAAACUCAACGAUCGUGGAGUAACCUCAACGAUCGUAGAAGCAGACUCGAAGAUCGCAGUCUUACAUGAGGAUACUCUAGCUCAUGAGGAGCUUGGAAGAACGAGAAAAUUGCUCAACCAUUCAGAUUAUGAGGAGAUAAGUUCGAAUGUUGGUUGGAAAGAUGUCCGGCUGAAGAGAAGUGCCCAAGGCUUCAUAAAGUACAUCAGUGGUUGAGCUAUGCAGUUUCAACAUGAGGAGAAAUGUCAAAACCAUCCACUGCAGCAUCUCUCAAAAUAUGAUCGUUGAGUCAAUAAAGGAAAACGUAGAGUCCAUAGCUGCCUUAUCAUGCUUCUCUAUGAACCAAAAUGGUCAACGGUUAAUCCACAUCAUUGAUGCCAGUUUGUUUCAAAAAGGGACAUUAAACUGAAGAGUUAAUGGGGGAGUUACCGCUCAUUACUGGGCAUCGUGCAACCAAUGGUUGAUUGACACAUCACAGAGUAUGCAAAGUUCGAAGGAACUGCCAUAAAGGAAAAUUCAAAUUAGCAAAUAGUUAUCAGAAUCUAUCGAACCUCUCUCCCUCCCAUUUUCAAACCCUAGAAUCCUCUGAAACGCAAAAAUCAAUUAACCCUCCAGAGCCUUGCCUAAAUCGCAAUCAGCCAUCUCUCAUAAACUCCUCUAAAUCAAAUACCCAUAUUCCUCGAACUAUUUAAAUGGAAGAUUAACGGAUAAUCACUGGCAUUCAGCUCGGAACCAAGUCGUUUGAAAAAUUCAAAAAGAAGUUCAGAGACAUUCUCGAACUUGUGAAGAAAGCAGGAUUCUCAGAAUGUCUUGAGGCUAGCACUCGAGUAUACACUAAACUAAUCAAGGAAUUCUACUCAAAUGCAUCCAUAAAUGUCGAAACACUUUCAGCCAAGGUUAAAGGUCAGUCUCUUAAGCUGAAAUCAUCCGAUAUCAAUCAAUGCUUAGGUUUCCCUGACCUAGGAUUGAGAAACCUUGAUGAGAUCAAAACUGAGCAAGCAAAGGAGAUUGUGGGGUACCAAAGAAACCCCAGUCUAAAGGAUAUGAAGAAAAAGGAGUUCCCUGAGGAAUUCGAGUUCCUUGCUGAAAUAGUGGGAAAAAGCAUACUAUGCAAGGACACUACACACGACACGGUGCUUGAUCAACAGUUAAAGAUCAUGUCUGCUAUAGUCUUGAAGAAACGAAUUAACGUUGGAAUUAUCCUGCUUGAUCAAAUAUCCAAAUGGGUAGAGAAGGCUGAAUUGAAGAGGUCUACAGAAAAACCACUUACAAAAGUGUUUGAUGGAAGACUACUGAGCAUUGUGCUGAAGAAGAAAUUGGGAAACAAAAUCAAGGAUGAUGAGGGAGAACCUCUGAAUGUUCACAAAGUAAUGUCUCCACAAUUGUUUAUGAAUUGGAAGAAAAACCCAAAGGAGAAUAGAAGGCUGACAACUGGGAGCAGUAGCAAGGCCUCUACAAAGAAGAUGAAAGCAAAAGAGGUAGAAAUCUUUGAGUCCGAUGAUCCUGUACCAGCAACAACCACACCAGCCAGACAGAAAUCCAAAGGUGUGAGGAAAACUGGGGCUCCUCCAAAAAGUCUAUCCACAGAAGACAAGGUUGAAGUUGAAAAGGUCUCAACUGCAGAGACCACUAAAAGGAGAAGUAAUAGAUUACUUCAAGGGCCAUCCAGCAAGAAAGCUAAGAUGGUAAAUAGUUCAGUCUCAACUUACGAAGAAAGUACGUCUGACAAAGAAAAGGAUGUAGAGUCAAAAGAAGAGAAGGCAACUGAUAAUCCCAAUGCUGAGCCUCCACAGACCAAAUCCAGCAAUGAAGGUUAAACUGGAUUAAUGGAAGAAAAUGCAGCAUUUGCUGAUGAAGAAGAAUACACAAGCCCCCAGAGCAUUCACUCUGAUGAUAAAGACAAGAUACAAGUUGACCCAACUGCAUCUCCAAAUGCAAAUGCUCCAACCAGCCCAGAUGAUGGAUCAAAUGAUGCUAAUUCUAAUGAAGAAGGAAAUGCCCCCACUAUUGUUGAACGUCAAGAAAGUCUGUUUGAUGAUGCAGAAGCUUCAGAGUCUGACGAAGAAGAGGAGUCUGAAACUCCUAUAGCUGAACUUCUAACAAGAAGAAAGAGCUAAAGAUUACUUGCUCAAAUUGCCUCCAAAAGGAAAAAUGAUCACUCUAAUGCUGUCAUUGAAUUAAGUGAUGAUGAGUCUGUAUCACAGGAAGUAAGUGCUAAGGAAGGAACCAGUGAUGAAGAAGAUGAAUCAGAGGAAGAUCUUGCUGAAGAAGGUUCUGGAAAUGAAAUGCAGCAAGAAGGAUUCAUUGAUGGAAACGAUCAAAAUGUUUCAGGCUCCGAAAGAGAAGAAAUGGAGAAUGAUUUCAACUCUGCAAAUCAGGAAUCAGAGGAUCCAACAGACUAUCCAGUCCUCUCUCCUGCAAGAAUCAGUAGAAGAAUUGUGGUAGAAGUCCUUAAUCAACCAGAAGAACUCCUAGCUGAAAGAUGGGUAAAAUAUGGAAACGAACAUCUCAAAGUUGUAAGGAUGACUGCACAAGAUAUAUUCAAAAACUGGAACAACAUGGAGCUAGACUGCACGACCAUCCUCUACAAUCCUGAUGACCUGCUAAUGAGAUGGUUCUUCCAUGGAUGCCUUGGCUAAAGGCACAUACUGAAAAGGAUGAAAGUUACUUCAGCUGGUGCUACUCUCAAUUUCCAAGCAUAGAGCUGGUGGCACAAAACUUCCCAAGAGUGAAGAGUUUUGCUACAAUGAUAUCACAAACCAGCCUCACUACAAGGUCUACAGACAUGCCGGCAACCACUAUAUCCCCUACGAUCGUAGGAUGGACUCAAAAGGAAGAAGGAUCAUGACCAAGGAAAUAAUCGUAGAGUCAGUUCACUCUACUACUGAUGGUAUCAAAGUACAAAAUAAGAAGCUUCCAUCUGCUCAAGCACUACUGACAGACAUUCUUUCAUCCUCAACCAGUGAUUGGAACUCAACGAUUCUUUAGAUUUUUAACACCUUCGAAAAUCUGUCCAAGGAAGCAGAUCGUAGAGUUCAAUCUGAUGCUCAACAAGGGGCUGCCCAACCAGAUGAUUAAAUAUCUGUGGAGAAGGAGCUGAUGAAAAAUUCUGAUGAACUGAUUGAGAAAAUAUCUCUAUUCACUGAAGAGUCAAAGAAGCUGACAACAAUAGAAGAUAACUCAGUUCAAGAGAGACUCCAAGCAAUGAUGGCUGAUUUAUCUCUCAAAAUCAAAGAAAGAGAUCACAUCUAUCUAAAGACCAUGAAUGAUCAGAAGGUAGAUGCACUACAAGCGAAGAAGGCAAAUGAAGAACAACUCCAAGUCCUCUCUGACAAGAUUGACAACAUGAAUCAGUCUUUCUCAGUACAACUUGAGCUAGGACAACAAGAACUCAAGAUUGAACUUGGUAAUUCCUCCUACCUGAUAGAGAAACUAAUGUCCAACAUGGAGCAGCUCUCCCAAGUGAUUAAUGACAAAAAGGGGGAGAAAAAGAGGCAUAGAAAUGGGAAGAAUAAGAGGCACUCUAGAAAGAGCAAGAAGAGCAGAAGGAAAUAAGAGAAGAAGUCAGUAGAAGAAGAAGUUGGGUCAUCAUCUGAGGGGGAGACAAAGGAUGAUAAACCUGUGUUUGCAAAGGCUGAGGGGGAGCCAGAAGAAGAAGAAGAGAAACAUGCAUCUGAGGGGGAACAAACAAAAGAGAUGAAGUCCACAUCCCAGAGGGAGCAGGAGCAAACAGAUCAAACAGAGGAAUAGUUGAUCAAUAGAUAUCCUAGAAAUAUACAUGGAGCUAAAGAGGUACAUCUCUAACUAGUUAGGUAUGUUUAGGAUCCAGGAUGUAAAAUGUCAGUGUAUUAAAUUUCAUAUCAUUAUAAAUGACAUUCAUGAUUAUCUAUUUUAGAAAUACAGCUGCUCACUGUAUAUAAGAUUCAUUCAUAACAUGCAUAUGCACUUAUUGUUUUUGUCAUAAUCAAAUAGGGGGAGAUUGUUAGGAAUAAGCAUGUGAAUGAUAUUCCUAUUUAUAUAUGAUUUGAUUAUAAUAUAUAUAUAUAUAUAUAUAUAUGAAUGAAUAUGCAAGUAUGCUUGCAUUAAGAAAAGCUAUAAAGUCCUUUGAUAGAUUAUAGAAACAUAUGUACAAGGACUUAGAAUGAAUUGAUCAAAUAUGUUAGGUUGAUCCUACAUAAGCAAAAUAGCUUUGUAAAGUCCUUAAAAAAAGAAAUAAUGUACAAGGACUAUAAAUAUAGAAAGAUCAAGCAUGUUAGGUUGAUCUUAUGAUGUAAUACAUAGGCUUGUCUGGUCGUUGAGCACUGCACCAGAAAUUGUAGUCUGCCAAGAGAGUCAAGGAAAACUCGAGAGCUAUCGAGGCAGAAUCGUAGUCUGCAAGACAGUAGAUCUUGGAGUUUGUAGACUUCUAGGAGAGACGAGGUAGGAUUGUAGUCUGUUGAGGAGUACUUCCUCGGAGUCGUAGUCUGCUGAGGAAGUCAUGUUCAGAAUCGUAGAGACAGCCUGCCUACGAGCCGACCGAACAUCUGCCGAAGCCAAGUCAAGAAUCGUAGACUACACUCGGAGUCGUAGAGUCUACUGAUGUCAAAGCCAAGUCAAAAAUCGUAGACUACACUCAGAGUUGUAGAGUCUACAGAUCAUAUCAGAGGUAGAGAUCGUAGUCGAGCAAGAUCAGAUGAAGACAACAAGCAUAAUGACAAAAAUCGUAGAGUGUCAAGAUCUAAUCUCGGAGUUGUAGUGUCUGCACAGCCGAAGCUGAAUCAUAGAGUGCAGAACUAAGACCUCAACAGAUGUGCUCACAAUGCCAAAUCAGAAUCGUAGAGCAAAUACGAUUCUCAAUAAAUGAGCACUCCCAGAAUAUCUAAAGGAAUGAAGCCUUUGGUUGGUACUGUAAGGAUACAUCUCACCUAAAGGAGGCCAGAGAGCACUCAACGAAUGGCAUGCAAGCUAUUAGAAAAUCUAAGCAUCAACUUAAUCAGUAUCCAGAUUGAGAUGUGAAGUCAUUCAUGAUAAAGUCUUCCACAAGAUGAUCAUAAGAAGACUUCAGUAGCUGACUAAGGAAAGUCAGCUUAUGUAGUAGCUGUUAUAUAGAAAGAUGACAAUGAUCUUGGAAGUAAUCAGGAUCGUAGUGUUUGCCAAACGAAGAAGGAACUAAAGGAGUAUAUACAAAGAUACUGGUCUGCCUCUGAAGAACAAGGCAAAAGUGAUUAAGCAUUGGGUCAGUCCAUUGAUGAUAAGUGAAUGGGAGAUCACAAGGAGAAAGAGAGCUGGACACGCCAUAAACCUGAAGUGUCUUGUUAUUCAGAAGGGGCCAGAGCAAGGAGUCAAGCCAUCAGUAUCUGAGAACAGUUGAGGCAAACAGAAGUGUUGAAGCAUUGCACGAAAGAAGGAAGAGUUAUUUUUCACUAGAGAUCAAGUGAACGCUCUUCAAGAUCGUAGUUUUGACUCUACAUGUCAAUAAGCAUCAGUCAAUAAGACACUACGAUCAGGUCUAAGAAGUUAUGCAUUAGAAUCGUAGAGUUCAAACAACUGAGGAUUGAAGCAUUGUCAACGGUUCAAUCUGAAGGUUGGUAAUCGGACAAGAGCUUAUUGAGAGCAUUGAUGCAAAAGGACAACCUCUGAUCUAGAAAUCAGAAGGGGGAAAUAAAGUCGUUGACAUGCCCAAGACAUCAAAGUAACAUCUCUGACAGGGUAGGUGAAACAGUAGACUGCAGUGUUAGAAAGUCAUGUCAUGUCACAUCUGCAGUUUGCACCAAACAACUCGAGAUCUGUGAAGCAAUUUGAAUAGCUCUCAGCGGCUACUUUCCAACGUGAAGAUUGGCAAGGAGUAUAAAUCAGAAAGAGCUUCAAAGAUCAAGGGUUGCUGGAGUGAGUUGCUAAGUUUGGAGAAGUGGUGGACUGAUCUAACCAAUGUAAAUAUUGAGUGACCAAUGAAGGUCUGAAGACUCACUCUACGAUCCACCAAGAACACUUAGAGACAGAAAAAAGAAAGAAGUAGAAGUGAGAGUUCUACAAUGUAGAAGUGAGAGUUCUACUACAAAAAGAGUGUUCUGAACUGCCGAGAGAUAGAAGAGCAUCAAUCUCAUCUUGAAUACCAUCAUGAGAAGACUCUAAGUACCAUAGAGGAGAGCUCACAUUCAUCUUAGCAAGUUCAUCAUGAGAAGGCAUCAAGUAUCAAAAAAGAAUAUCACCAAUGCCAUCAUGGUGGCAAGCAUGAGAAAGUUUCUAAGUACCUAGCAGAAGAGCUUAAAGUCAUCUUAGAAACCCAUCAUGUGCAGCCAUCAAGUAUCAAGAGGAAUGAUCUUUUAAGGAAUUUCAUCAAGGGAUCAUCAGAAGUGGUUGAGUUACUAAAGAAGAUGAACAUCAUGCAACACUUAACUGCACUUCAAGAAUGAUCACGCCAAGCUGCUAAGUACAUAAGAUGUUAAGAGCUUAAAGACAUCUUAACAGCUAUACACCAACAACAACAACUACUACAACAACAAGAACCCAGGGCCUGAGGGGUCCUUGUCCGGAGGGACUAAAUGAAGUUCCAAACCUGCUGGGCUUGAAGAGUUCCUAGGGAACUAGAGAAGUUCCAAGGCUGCUAGCCUUAAAGAGUUCUUAGUGAACUGAAGUCCCAAGACUGCUGGCCUUGAAGGAAUCAUAGUGAUUCAGGGUGCUGCCCUUCCAUAGUGGAAAUCCUGCUAGUUGAAAUCAGAAGAAUGGAUUAGGAGCUUGAGUCUCUGAACCACUUAAAACCCCUUGUGUCUUUUACUUUAUGUCAUUUACAUUAUGUACAUUAACUGCUAUAACUGCUAUGCAUGUUUUAACUGCUUACCAUUGAACUAACUCCAUGAACAAUGUAUGUAUGAUUAUGAUUAUAUCAAUGAAGGGGAUCUUUUACUUAUUUUGCUGUGCUUGAAAAGAUUCUUAUGUUUGUCAUAUGCUAAAUUAUUAGCAAUACAAAAAUAAACCACAAAAGUAUUUGAAAUUAAAAAGGAUCUAUUCAACCCCCCCCCCCCCUUCUAGAUCUAUUGUGCCUACUGGGAACUAACAUUAUCAAUAAACAUCACGAUGAACUUGUCCAAAUAUUAUUUGAACACCAUGUUCAUCAUAUCCAUAAAUACAGUUGGUGCAUUAGUCAACCCAAAUGAUAUCACCAGAAACUCGUAAUGACCAUAACGAGUUCUGAAUGCCGUCUUUGGUACAUCCUCAUUCCUAACUUUCAAUUGGUGAUACCCCAUCCUCAAAUCUUUUUUAGAAAAAUACUUAGCCCCUUUCAACUGAUCAAAAAGAUCAUCGAUCCAGGGCAAUGGGUAUUUAUUCUUUAUUGUUAACUUGUUCAACUCUCUGUAGUCGAUACAAAGUCUUAACGAUCCGUCCUUCUUCUUUACAAAUAGUACCGGUGCUCCCCACGGCGAAACACUCGGUUGUAUGUACUUCAUAUCCAACAGUUCUUGUAACUGUACCAUUAACUCCUUCAUCUCCACUGGCGCCAUACGAUACGGUGCCCUGGAAACUGGUGCCACUCCUGGCAUAAUGUCUAUUACAAACUCAAUCUCCCUAUCCGGUGGAAGACCCGACAAUUCACUCAGAAAUACAUCCGUGAAUUCUUUAACUAUAGGUAUUUGUUCCAUGGUUGCUCCCACUCUCUGGGUAUCAACAACGUGGCACAAAUAACCUACACAUCCCUUCCUUAAUAAUUUCCUAGUUUGUGUCAUGGUAAGACAACACGAAUGCCCCAUCGAUCUAUUCCCAUAAAAUACUACCUGAGGUUGUCUCAACGUUCUAAUGUUCACACAUUUCUUCUGACAAUCUAUAAUUUCCCCAUGGUUAACCAACCAAUCCAUUCCAAGAAUUACAUCGAAUUCUCCUAACUUUAUCGGUAUUAAAUAUACCGAUAAUUUACAACCCCGUAUGUCUACGUAACAACCCCUAUGAAUAUCUUCAACAGGAAUUAUCUCUUUGUUAUAACAUACCGCCUUCCCCUUGAGACAGACUCCUAAAUAAGUCUUCCCACAGGUUUUGUAGGCCUCCAUUCUUCUCUUUGGAUCUUCUUGUUUCACUCUGGUAUUCCCAGAGUUAAACCCUUUUUAUUUCUGUACUUUUCCACUCCCGCUGACUACUUCUAUCUUCACUCCCCCAUCAACUUUUCCCUUAUUCUUUUUGUCCUUGUGGUACUGGCUUAAAGCCUCACUACCACCUUCGGCGAUUAUCGCCUUCUCUAAAAUGGUCCCAAACGACAUACUUUGGAACAAAGAUAUACGGUUAUAGAGCCAGGGUUUCAAGCCCUACUCGAACCGUCGAGCUUUCCUAACCUCGGUGUCCGCUUGAUAUGGAACAAACCUCGCCAGUUCAUUAAACUUAGCAGCGUAUUGGGGAACCGUCAUGUCCCCUUGUUUCAAAUCAAGAAACCGCAUCUCCAUCCUUCCCUGCAUACUCGUGGGAAAGUAGUUCUCGAAGAAUAUCUCCUUGAACCUCAACCACGUUACAUUCUCUAUACCAGCUCUAGCCUGGUUAGACUCCCACCAAAAAUUGGCUUCUUCUUUCAUCAUAUAGGUUGCAAAGGCAACCUUCUGACCCUCAUCGACAUUUGCAAUGACAAAUGCCUUCUCGAUUUCUUUUAUCCACGUUUGGCUACUAUGGGGUCCGUAGUUCCUUUGAACUCCGGCGGACCCAUGUUGGGUAAAAUCUAGUUACACACAACACGCAAGUAUACGUGGUCAACAAGUAAUAAAUUAAAAGUAGAGUAUCGUUCCCACGAGGAAUUAUUUAAUAAAAAUCACCAAGUACUAACCCGUAACCAACUCAAUCUUAUUUAAAUAAAUUAAUUUCAAAUUAUAUAAUUAAACUACUAUUAAAUUCAACUAGUUAAAUUAAGAUUAUGGAGAUUUAAGAUCAUAACUUCACUUAUUGCUUUAUUUAAGUUAACACACUUCUCAUCAAUUAUUCUCUAUUCUGUAUUGUUAAUCAAGAACACUAAAGCAGAUAAAACCACUUCUCGCUGUAUAAUACCCAUACUCACAGAUGAUAGAAUUAAGCAAGGCACCCUCAUUAACUAAUCCACUAUAUCUCUAUGUGAAUUACAAUUAAAAAAGAUUUAAAGCACAAGUUCUCUAUAAGAUUAUAUAUGGCGUAAAGGUAUAUCUCUAUCCUAAACACGAAUCAUGAAUUCCAUCUAUGUAGAAAUCACAAACACAUGCUAUCAUGAUCAGAUCUAAAUCUAAACUUCAUCUCUCGAGUUCAUAUAGAUUAUCACGGUAAUUGAUGGCCAAUCAAUUAAAUAAUUAAGUCCAAAUCACAAUAGACAAUCCUCACAAUAGAACAUAAUAAUUGAUAGUGAAUCAUAUUAAAAUAAACUACAAAAAUAGAUCCAUUGUAAUCUCAAAUAAAGAAUUAGUUCAUUAAAUUAAAACUAAGAAUCCACACUUGAAUACACAUUAAAAGAUAAGAAUAAUAUUAAGGAAAAGAAGUGAAUCUGUUGUCGGCAAAUUCUUCCUCCGUCUCGCUCUUGAUCUGGAUCUCCAAUGGCUUCCAAGUGCUUCAAUCUCCAAAUCUCAUAAAAACUAGUGUUUUCUCAUAUUAUACUCUAAUCUAAUCUAAUGGAAUCCUCUCUCUCUCCCCUAAUCCUUGUGAUUCUCCUCCUUUUAUAUGUCUUUUUAUAUGUCUUUAAGUCCUCUUGGAAGUCCUUGAGUCAAUCGGAUCGAACCAAUCCUCCUCGAACUCAAAUUCAGACAAAAAAUGACUUUUCUACGCGUACCCCCGCCCCAGCGGGGGGUAUAAGGAUUAAAGGACCCACCCCGGCUGGCAUACCCACUGUUUUGUAGCUUUUACCCCUGCCCCGGCGGGGGGUAAUAGGCUUAAAGAUCCCGCACCGGUGGGGGUCCUUCCUAGAAAUUUUUUGCUGCAAUGUCCUCUGGUAAAACGACCAUAACCUUUGAUUCGGAAAGAGUUACGAUGCUCGUCACCUAUCAAAUCGAAGAUAUCAACGAGAUCUACAACUUUCAUUCUUUAAAAAUUGAGAAACAACGGACGGAUGAAGGUCGAAAUUAUGUUGGAAGUGACUGCUAUGCAAAUGGCCACCCAAAACAGUGAAGUUCAACGUCCGUUGGUACAAAGAUCAUAACUCUUGCAUCCGAACUCCGAUUGGAAUGAUUCGAGAUUUUUCGGAAAGCUAAGAAGAAGUUCUACAAUAUAAUCCAAGUUUCAAGCCAAGAACAUGAAAUAAACAUGAAACCCCAAACGAUGUUCGGAUUUCUUUUCCUUGCGAUUUCAUACCAAUUCUUUGCAAUCACAGCUCCCAAGCAUAUAAUCUACAAAACGAACACAAAAUGCAUGAAAAUUAACUAAGAAACAUGAGAUUAAGCAACUAAUUCAAGUAACAGAUACUGGAUAAGUAGGUAUAAAAUCUACUUAUCAAAUACCCCCAAACCUAAACCUUUGCUUGUCCUCAAGCAAAAACACAAAACAACAAUGCUAUGCAAUGCAACUAAUCUACAUGCCACGAACCCAGCAGUAAUGACAGAAACAAGUCUAUUCAACCGACCUUAGAGAAAUCAAGUAAACAUGAUAAUACAUCAUAUCAAAACUCAUCAGUAACUUCCCAAUCAAUCAUCAAAUCUUAAACUGUUAUCACUGAUAUAGUGUGUGUGUGUGCUCCACAACAAUGUUAACUGAUAUAAAAUCAAAUUUAACACAUAACAAGUCUCUUCGAAGGCAUCAUACAGUGUAAACUCAAGAAAUCCAAAAACAAGCUAGAUCCAACUAAAAUCAAAUAAUUACCAAUAUCGAGGGUCAACAUGGGAUACUUAUGCUUUAUUUUUCAUCUACGGGGGCUUUUUGCUCUUAUUUCCAAUUUUAUUAAUUUUUUUGGGUUUAUAUACACAUAGCUAUGCAAUGUCUUAUUCCCUUAGGCUUUUCAAUGCUACCUUAACGAGCUUUCGACCAAUGACUCCCAGACCAUUAAGAUCUUAGGGUGCUAGGUGUAAAGACAAUCCCCUCGGGCUUACUUACUCAAGUAACAAAGGCCACAAAACUAGACAAGCACGCCACGGUGUUUAUUUAUACUUUUUUUUCUUUUUUUUAUAUAGCUUAUAUACCCCAAAUAUUCUCCCAAACUUAGGUUCUUGUCUAACUUUAGCCAUCACUACUUAUUCUUGUCAUUCUUUCAUUCAAACUAGCAUUAUCCUUUAGAGUCCCAUUAUGUAUCAAUUUAAACUCAAUCAAUCAACAAGUUGUUUUUAUUGUGCUAUCCUUAUUAUACAAGUUUCAAACAGAAAAAGACUCAAUUUCUAACAAGAAAUCACAUCAAAGCUCUAAUAGUCAGUACUAUACUUGUCUACCCAAUUCCAAUCUCAUCAUUGGGCAAAACAAACUGUAAAUAUCAAACAGCUGGACUCAUGCAAGAUGUAAUAAAUGUUAUAUAAACAUAGUAAACUAACUACUAUUUUUAAAAAAAUUUAAUUUUUCAAUUUUUAUUUUUAUUUUUUAUUUUAAAAAACUUAAUGCAAAAACUAAAUAUAACUAUACAAACUACAAUAUAAAUAAUUAACUAUAUGCAAUACGACACUAAAAUGCCCCCAAACUUAAACUAGACAUUGUCCUCAAUGGCUGAAAUAGAAAAAAGUAAAGCAGAAGACUUCCCUGAAAAUAUAGCAAUCCUCCUCCUUGUCCGCUAAGUUUGGAGAAUAGAUUAGGCACAUGGAACAAAUUGGGCACCACACUUGAAUUGGACUUGAAUGACCUUUUCAUAAUCUUUUGCCUGUCCAUUGAACCUCCAAUACCUACAAUUAAGAGAGACAACAUGGAUUAGAAUAGUACUUUGGAUUGGUAAGAGAACUUAAUAAGCAAAUUAAUUCCUAUCUACUAAAUAAACUAGUAAAGCAUAUAAAUAUAAAAAUUCCUGGGUUGCCUCCCAGUUAGCGCUUGAAUUACAGUCUUUCAACCUGACUUUGUCUGGUCAACGCUAUCCAAUUCCUCUUCGAUAAUUGAGGAACCCUCCAUCCAUCAAAAAUAAUAUAGCUUUUGGUAGGUUCCCUGGCCAAUGCAUCAAAGUCACCUAGCAUGCUCUGAUUUGGUAUGAUCUCAAUCAAGAACAUCCCACAGCUAGGUGUUUUCUGCAUUGUGUAUGUGAUCACUUUGGGGCAUGGAAGCUUGUCACACACAAUGGGAUCUUCUUCUAUCUUCUUUUUCUCAUCCCACCACGGAUUCAAAAUUGUACUCGCUCUUAUGUCAUUAAGAGCUUCGCCGACGACAUGACUACCAAAUGGGCAUGAUUUUGAAAAUCUGUCUGACUCUUUGAUCUUUGGUGGAGACCCAUUUAGAUCUUCGUCGACCUCUAUUUCAUUAUCCCCAAUUUUCUCCACACUUCCAAUAUCUUGUGGCUCAUCCAGUCGCAGAUUUGGUUCGGGUUCUCCGUCAAUUUCGUCAUCCUUGUCAAAAAGCCAAGUGUUUGGAGGAAGGUUGCUUACGGCUUUGGUCAUUUACUCUAUCUGAUCUGCAAGAUUUUGAAUUGACCUCUCUUGAUUACUCAUCUUCUCCUCAUCUGCUACGAACUUGGACAAUAAUUCCCCCAGCCUUGAAUUUUCUGUUUCAGUCUUAGAAGCCAUGUAUUGAGGACCAUUGGUUGAGGUAGUGACGAGUUGUUCCAUCCGAUUAUUAAAAUUUUUGGUUGACAGCUCUUGGCUAAUCCUCAUAUCCUCUAGGUCUGCUAUGCCCUUCAAUAUUACAUCCAUCGGAUUUGGCUUUCUUCUUGUAGCAAUGGAGGUGGACAUAAAAAUUCCAGUGUGUAUGAUGAAUUUAGAGCGUAAUGUUGGUAAUCAUAAUUGUAGCUUCAUGAAAAAAUCGGGUGAUACCCCCAAUCUUGGUGAUAGUUAGGAUCACCAUAGUUGUUGGUAAUCAUCACUAUAUUGUACCGGUUCAAAACUGACGGUGUAUUGAUGACUUUGGUGGUUGCCAGCACAAUAGUCACACAUAAAUUGCCAUCCUUCGACUCCUUUGGGCUACAAUAACGUCCAACGUCCUCGAAAGUUCUUCAAUCUGUGUUGAUAUUGCGGAAAAUGCAUUAAGUCCAUCAAUCCUUGUUUCCUUUGGUUGAGUCAUGUUUGCCAUCCUUCGACUCCGUUGGGCUGCGAUAACCUCCAACGUCUUUGAAUUUGCCUCAAUUUGUACUGACUCUACAGAAAAUGUAUUAAGUCCAUCAAUCCCUGUUUCCCUUGGUUGAGUCAUGUUCGUGUAUGACCAUUGAUACGCAAAGUCAUCCAUGGUACCUGAAAAGAGAGAAAUAUAUGAAGAAAAUUAAAAAUAAAAAUAAAAAUAUUUAAAUUAAGACUAAUUUGAUUGAAAUUAAUAUUGGUAAAAAAUAUAAAACUAAUUCCCUGGAAACGGCGCCAAAAACUUGUUGGAUAAAAUCUAGUUACGCACAACACGCAAGUAUAUGUGGUAAACAAGUAAUAAAGUGAAAGUAGAGUAUCAUUCCCACGAGGAAUUAUUUAAUAAAAAUCACCAAGUACUAACCCGUAACCAACUCAAUCUUAUUUAAAUAAAUGAAUUUCAAAUUAUAUAAUUAAACUACUAUUAAAUUCAACUAGUUAAAUUAAGAUUAUGGAGAUUUAAGAUCACAACUUCACUUAUUGCUUCAUUUAAGUUAACACACUUCUCGUCAAUUAUUCUCUAUUCUGAAUUGUUAAUCAAGAACACUAAAGCAGAUAAAACCAACUCUCGAUGCAUAAUACCCAUACUCACUUAAAUUCACAGAUGGUAGAAUUAAGCAAGGCACCCUAAUUAACUAAUCCACUAUAUCUCUAUGUGAAUUACAAUUAAAAAGGAUUUAAAGCACAAGUUCUCUAUAAGAUUACAUAUGGCGUAAAGGCAUAUCUCUAUCCUAAACACGAAUCAUGAAUUCCAUCUGUGUAAAAAUCACAAACACAUGCUAUUAUGAUCAGAUCUAAAUCUAAACUUCAUCUCUCGAGUUCAUAUAGAUUAUCACGGUAAUUAAUGGCCAAUCAAUUAAAUAUUUAAGUCCAAAUCACAAUAGACAAUCCUCACACUAGAACAUAAUAAUUGAUAGCGAAUCAUAUUAAAAUAAACUACACAAUAAGAUCCAUUGUAAUCUCAAACAAAGAAUUAGUUCAUUGAAUUAAAACUAAGAAUCCACACUUGAAUACACAUUAAAAGAUAAGAAUAAGAUUAAGGAAAAGAAGUGAAUCUGUUGUCGGCAAAUUCGUCCUCUGUCUCGCUCUUGAUCUGGAUCUCCAAUGGCUUCCAAGUGCUUCAAUCUCCAAAUCUCAUAAAAACUAGUGUUUUCUCCUAUUCUACUCUAAUCUAAUCUAAUGGAAUCCUCUCUCUAUCCCCUAAUCCUUGUGAUUCUCCUCCUUUUAUAUGUCUUUAAGUCCUCUUGGAAGUCCUUGAGUCAAUCGGAUCGAACCAAUCCUUCUCGAACUCAAUUUCGGACAAAAAACUACUUUUCUGCACGUACCCCCGCCCCGACGGGGGGUAUAAGGCUUAAAGGGCCUGCCCCGGCUGGCAUACCCACUGUUUUGCAUCUUUUACCCCCGCCCCGGUGGGGGGUAAUAGGCUUAAAGAUCCGGCCCCGACGGGGGUCCUUCUUGGAAAUUUUCUACUGCAAUGUCCUCUGGUAAAACGGCCAUAACCUUUGAUCCGGGAAGAGUUACGAGGCCUGCCACCUAUCAAAUCGAAGAUAUCGAUAAUAUCUACAACUUUCAUUUUUUAAGAAUUGAGAAAUAACAGACGGAUGAAGGUUGAAAUUGUGAUAGAAGUGACUGUUAUGCAAAUGGCCACCCAAAACAGUGAAGUUCAAUGUCCGAUGGUACAAAGAUCAUAACUCUUGCAUUCGAACUCCGAUUUGAAUGAUUCAAGAUGUUUUGGAAAGCUAAGAAGAAGCUCUAAAAUAUAAUCCAAGUUUCAAGCCAUGAACUUGAAAAUAAACAUGAAAGCCCAAACGAUGUCCGGAUUGUUUUUCCUUACGAUUUCAUACCAAUUCUUUGCAAUCACAGCUCCCAAGCAUAUAAUCUACAAAACGAACACAAAAUGCAUGAAAAUUAACUAAGAAACAUGAGAUUAAGCAACUAAUUCAAGUAAAAGAUACCUGAUAAGUAUGUAUAAAAUCUACUUGUCAACCCACACUUUUAAAAUCCUUGAAAGUAGUAGCUCGUACUACUCCCGAAUUUACGGGGAUAUUAGCCCAAUUUCUAUUAAACGUGGUUGUUAAUAAGUUAACAAAUUCCUGCAUCGGGUUAACCGGACCUCCUUCCGGUUGAUUUACAUUAACGUCUUGGUUUCGUUGUCUCCUUCUUGGUGGUAUUUUGCUGUUACAAUAAACAACACAUUUUGUUAUUAUUCCCUUCUUGUUAGUUAGUUAUUAUUAAAUAUUAAACAAUAACUUCAACAUUCAUUACUCCAUAUGUUCCGUAAAAAGGCUUAUAUUGAUUCAUUCAUUGUAGUAUAAUACUACAUCGUUCCAUUACACAACCUAAGCUGAUUACAUUACCAUCCCGCAAUUACUUUCCAAAAAUUGGGAUUUACAAAAGACUACCCUUUGAUAUAUAAAAGAGGGUUUUACGUCAAUACUAGAUACACAAUAUUUAAAUAUCUAAUUAUACUCUAGCUACUACUAGAUUACAUCUGCCUUAAGGCAUUAUCAAUAUCUGUUGUGGCCAGACUAGCGAUAACAUCAUGGCUGAUAGCAUGCCGAGUCUGCCCUGCCUCUAUUGGAUAUCCAGCCACCUGCUGCUGGAAAUCCUUAUGAGAACUCUUAUGGAUAUAGGACAUUCUCCCUAUCUUUUGCUUCUUGGUCUUUAGCUCCCCCCUAAGCUCAAAGACCUCCUGUUUUAGCUCAUGGACCUUGUCCUUGGCUAAAAAUCAUUCGUCAUGUUCCCGUUCCCACAUUGACUCCACAUCUGUCUUAUCCUGUAAGACAACCUGGAGCUCUGUUUUUUACUCCUUCACCUCCUGAUAGUAGUGGAGGUUUCUGUCUAGCACUGUCAUAAAUAGUGACAUCAUAGACUCCCCCAGGGGUGUCUCCUAUGCAAGUUUUAUAGGGUUGAAGGACGCCACCUCUACCUGUUCUUCUGACAUGCCAUCGAACUGACAUGAGAUCAUGGUUCUUUGAGUCUCCAGACUCAAUCACUACUACUUCUGGCUCUUCGGCUAUUGGGUUUGGUAUAACCUCUAUCUGGCUAACCGAUUCUUCACUGUCUACCUGUAUAUCUCUAUACAUUCCAUUUUCGCCUGACAUCUACAACAAAACAAUUAAGUUUGAUUAGUACACGUUGGUAGAUUAAUAAAAACACAUAUCAUAUAUAUAAUGCAUUUUUAAGGUUACUUUCAUCGUUUACUUCUUUGACUCCUCUUAAGGUUAUGACUUAAGGUUUUAUUCCCCCCCCCCCCCUUAAGUUUUAUAACCUAAUGCUUUGAUACCAACCUGUGACGCCCCCAAAUUUAGGUAUCUUCCAACCCGACAUUUGGUGCUCCACGGUGCUACAAUUCACACAAACAUUCAAUUGAAAUUCCUCAAAAGAACGAAUAUGUCUUAUAUAUAUAUUCCAAAAUAAUAUUACCAUUCCCCAGAUUCUUUAUAACCAUUACAUUUGUUCUUGUCAUAAUAUCAAAUAUUAUCACUACAAACCUAUACUAUUACAUAGGUAAGCUACAGGUUCGCCUUCGCCUUUCCUUUAUCCUUUCCGAAUCCUUCGAUCCAUUUUGUCUUAGCUGCAUUCAUAUGGUUCAAGGAACAGUGAGCAUAACUAGCUCAGCAAGUAUAACAAUUCCAUUCAAAUGACAUGCUUGAAUCAUACAAAUCAUAUAUCUUUAAUAACUGAACAAUAGUUAUGAAGUACUAUCGAUAAUUUAAAAUAGCACUUCUCUUUUCUUUAAAACAUUUUACAAUGACAACAUUCAGUAAAACAUCAAUUUUGGUCCAAGACCUUGAGCAUUUCAUACUUUCUUUGAAAAGGACAUCCCGGCACUAAGUCUGUAAGUCCGAUAUUUUUUACGAGCACGUCUAGGUGAUCAGCCUAUAGUACUCUAUGUUGAUCAACACUACACUCUUUAUACGUAUGUACGUUUAAGUUGUGGCAACCUCACGUGCCUGUCGUUUGACGACAAAACAUUUUAGCAUACUCAGUCUUCAUUUGAAAACCAUACCAACAUAGUUUGGUAAAGCAUUGACAAUACUUCGAUAGAUUAUAAGAAAUCCAACACAUCAUAAGUCUAGCCGAAAGAAUUGGCUUUGACUUAGUCAUACAUCAAUUCAUGCGUGAGAAUACAUGAAUCACAAAACCUAUCUAGACUGAACAUAGACAAGGGUUAGAAUACUUGCAUUUAGUGUCUGCUACUAUUAUUACACGUUCACUUUAAGUCUUUAAGGUCUCUACAAUAGAUGAUCACAUAACAUAACACAUUAGGUCAUGAUUAAACAUACAUGGUUCCUAAUGAAUCUUACCCUUCUUUUCAAUCUAAUCAUGUAUUAGAUUUGUUGCUAUUGGUUCCGGCUUUCUGUUAUAGUUUACAUUGUCAUCACGUUCAUGUUUGAUUGAUUACCUUCAACCUUUAGUCAUCAUAUUUAAAGUUUAAUAAUGCCUUAACAAUGUCAUAAUUAAGCUUUACUUCAUUGUUAAACAACUACAAUUCUUGCUCUACUUACAAACAUUCUUUACUGUUAAAACCCUAAGGCUAUCGUUGUGGCACCAGCUUUCCUUCAUUGUGCCGCGCUACGGCGCGAGUUAAUAGUGUGUAUGACCCGGACUCGGCGCUACGGCGCGAGUCCCAGUUCUAAUUGCCGCGCUGCGACAUGAAAGUUCAGUAGGUACUGGAACUGCACAUGGCGCUGCAGCGCCACCAUUAUGCCAUGGGCUGGCGUCGCGACGCCAGCUCUGUGCACCAGACAAUGAAAUUUUUUUGUUUUGCAUAACGAACUUCCCGGACUCCAAAUUUGAUCAUUUUAAGUCCGAAUUGGCUCAUUCAAAAGCCAUUAGCUCACAAAUCAGAUACUCUAUGUGUUCAUGCAAGAAUUUUAUAUUUUUGACUUCGCUAGCUUAAAAUUCACCUAUUGGUUCAUUUUUAAUGAAAACGAUAAACGUUCGUGAACGUUCAAUGCUUGUUUCUCCGUUCUAAGUCAGAAUUCGGCCAUUUUUGAGUCCGCAACUUUAUAAUGCCAAAUAAGACUUGUUCCCAUUGGAAACCAAUGUUUCCGAGCUUAAUAACAAAAUUUGACUUCUAAUCCGAGAAUUUCACGAAUUCGGUGAUUAUCGUUCAAUCGUGAGAAUUCCGGCAUAACUUCGUUACUUAUGAUUUGUUCAUUGUUUCAAAUGGAUUCUAUCCAUCAUAUUGACAUCUUAACAUACAUAUGACAUCAACUUAUUUUCAUGAUAAGUUAUUACUUAUACCUUAUGAGUUUAUAACUUAUCAAAGUAUAAACUAUAUAUACUUUCAUUUCUCAUGACUUAUGAUAGUUUAAGUCUUCUAACCAACAUCCUUACAUCCUUUUAACAUAUAAACUUCACUCAUCUAAACAUGCUACAAGUCUUACAAUUUCUUACUUAAUUCAUAGCUAGCUUAUCUAUGAACAAUGUGCUUAUUCACUGCUUAUUAAGACUUAAGUCCUUAGAUUCUUUAUUAUUAACAUUUCUUAGCAUAUAUGUCCAUUAAUCCACACUUCUCUUAUCAACCUACAAUGGUAGAGAUGGAAGACUUAAUGACAUAGGAGGCUUACCCUUGAUGAACAAGCUUUCUUCUUCUUUUCUAACAAAUAAUACUCUAACUUAUUCUUGCUUAUUCUCUCUAAUAAUUAAGUUGAAAGUAUUGGAUGAAAAUAACAACCAACAAAUGAAAACCAAGCUUGCUAUUUAUAGGAUUUCCUAAGUUAGGGCAUAAUGGACAAGAGCCAAUCCCACCUCCUUAUUACACCUCCACACUAUUCAUUACCUAGCUAUUAAGUAAACUUGCUCCCUACUUCUUUUACUUGGUCAUUACAUAAUUUACUUGGUCACCACAUUAUUCUCUUGGUCACCAAGAUUACCAUAUGAUCAUGGGUUUCCCCAUGGGUCACCCUAACCCAUUGGAUCAAUAGCUUGGGCUUUGGUUUAAUUAUCUUAACUUAAGCUUUUGGGCUUACAUUAAUUCCAUUUGGACUUUACUUUAAUCACCACUUGGCUUUAACAUUACUCACACAUGGGCUUGCACCUUAACUUCUAUUAGACUUUACAAAUUGUUACACAAUCCCACAAGUCCAUUUCAUUUGGCUAAAAGCCUUAUAACGUAUUGUUUAUGUAUUAUUCUCGUAUUCUAACUCGUAUAAUAAUUCACAAUAUAUGAUAUACCAUCAUUCAUACAUACUCGUAUAAUACUUCAUAUCAUACUCGUAUUCGUUACCUCGUACAAUACAUACUUAUCAUACGAUCAUUACAUUAACUUCUUAACGCUUUAGUUUCCCCAACGUUCUCAAAUUAAGUCCGCAAGCAAAAAAUUAUGUUUUCCAUGCUUGAAUUAUUAUUACAUAAUUCAGCUCACUUCGAUAUUCUAUCGUUACUUAUUUCUCGGAAGUUCAAAAAUAAUUCCUGAGCAGAAAUCAAUGAAUAGUGUUUUUCAAAAAAUUUCUCGAAAAACUUUUAUUUUCGUCUUGGAAAUUCAUACACUUUUAUUCCUUCACGUAGUCAAAAUACUACGAUGUUCUAACGUUUCUAGGUUAUAGAACGACAUUCAUCUUACUAACACAUAAUAAUAACAAAUACUAUAAUUUUAUUCAUUAUUUAAUUAAAUAAAAUUAUUUUACAAUGAAUUCAAAUUUCUCGGUUGUUACAUGGACCAUAUUGGAGAGUAUGAUUGGGGUUCCUAAACCUUCGUAUAUUUCCUCAGGGGUAUGCGAAUGCGUUCGCAGGGCUUGACGGAGGCUUGGCUAGGAUUCUACUCAUUUCUGUUGGUGAGUAUUUCUCUUGUGAUUUCCCAUGUACAGGUUGAGAGUAUUGACUAACAGCAUAUGUUUGCCUUUGUGUUAGUUGUUUUGGGCCUAUGAGAGGCUCUCAUGUUUGCGUCCUGUGAGUGUGUUAGGUUUAGAUAGCUAUCCACAAAGACGGCGAUGGCAUCACUCCAUAUUGGCGGAGGUUCCUGUAGCUGAGGGUUUCACCCAUUGUCAUUUACAAUUGAAGUUGUUGGCAGUUGAUGCUAUCACUUGGAUUCCCUAUUCUGGGGAACAUUUGACCAUUGGUUUUUAAGAUGGGUACCCGACUGGUGUCGAGUACGUGAUAUCCACCCCUAGGAUUCCUCUCUUCACAGAUGGAGGAUGAGAGCUCUAUUUAGGAGAGCGUGCUAUUAGGACCGCCACAGGGGAGAUUCGUGUACCGAUUUUUCCUCCUAGGCGUUAUUGGCCUGUGUCGUAGUCACCCAUCAGUGAUAUCCCAUUGAUGGGCGUUGACGACUUUUCAUUAUCAGAGGGUCCAUAUACCCAGGAUAUGUUCCAUCGCUGGUGGUCCCCUCGUACCAUCGGAGCCCAGACGCACACCACUCAGUUCAUGGGGGAUAUGGUUCUUGGAUCUGUGAUGAUGACAAAUUGGAUGGCCUGUGUUCGAGAUCCGACUCAUUUGGCACAGAUUGAUGGUUUGACCCGGCAAUUGGACCGGGCAUAUUUCUUUAUCUGGCACUUGGGUAGAGAUCCUUCAGAGGCAAAUACUUUUGAUCCUUCUAGAUCUGGGGCUGGCCCUUCAGGUGACCCAUAUGGCUUUCCCGGUGCAAAUCCUCCAUUGUAUAGGCCUGACAUCCCACUUGGCGGAGAUCCAGUGACUCAGGAGGAGUUACAUCAGGUGGACAGGAUUGAUGAUGUAGAUAUUGACACCAUUGUCUUCUUCUGAUGUGUAUUCUCGCUAUAUCUUUUGAUAGGCCUCUAUUAGAUACUGGGUGACUGUGCUCCAUUCUCGUUAUAUCUUUUGAUAGGCCUUUGUUAGUUGUUAGGCAUUUGUGCCCCAUUUCCCUGUAUUUUUAGCUGUACAAAGAUGAUGUAUUAGAUGAUGAUGUAUUUAGGAAUGUAUGUACUAUUAUUCCCUGCAUCAUAUUGCCAUCUAUUAUUUAUCAUGCAUGUAUCAUGUUAUGCAUAUGUAUGUAUGUCCAAAGAUAUUCAGCAUUGACCCCUGGAUAGUCUUAUGAUACAGUCCACACAGAUGUCUUCAUCGACAAUCAGCCGCAUUAAUCACACCUCACCAGUAUUGGUAGCAUCUUGUCUGAUGUCAUGGUAUGAUAGCUUUUCACCUCCAGACCGGGUGACCGUAGAUCAGUUAUUACAGCAUUCUAUGACCCUCCUGAUGUUCUUGGUUCCUGUGGGCUUUGUAGAUUGUAUGCUAGAGCAUUGGGUACUGGAGAGGCAGUUAUUCUGGUUUGGGACCCAGGAGUUGACUCCCACCUUAGAGGAGUAUGCACGGUUGACGGCACUGUCACUGGACAGACCUUGCGCGCUGAUGGAUAUUGGUGAUAUGAGCCGACAGUUUAUGACCCUCACUGGGCUGAGGCGUAGAGUAGUACAUGAUGAGAUUACAUUUGGCCAUGUGGUGUCCCAACGUUUUAUGAUAGAUAGAUUUGGCUCAGUGGACAGUUAUGCUUGACACUCCGGUGAUUUCACCGCAUCAGAGGAUCAGUGGCGUACGGCCAGGGUAGACGUACUUAUGAUGUACAUAGUAGCUUAUGUGUACAUGCCACUGUAUAUGGAUGAGCUGGACAUCAGUGUUUUCAUAGCAGUGAGAGCUCUUAGGGAGGGUCAUACCAUUGUGUCGAUGAUUGUGAUAGAGACGUUGAGAUCCGCCACGUAUUGUUAUACCUAUCCUGCAGGGGUAUUCAUAGGCAGUUUGGUCAUAUUGUAUGUGUGGUUCAUAUCAUAUUUGAGACCGAUUGGCACCUUCCGAUGACAUGGGUACUGCUUUUCCCAUGAGAUAGCCAUGUCUUACUCUUUUUAGCCAACGGAGUGUACAGACGUUGUAUCUUGGUCAGUGUUUUUGGCAGGGAUCGGAGAUUCGUUUGACUUUUUGCAGUGUACAAGGCUUAGUUCACCCUACAGCUUCAUUACUCAUGCACCUGGCAUGGAUUAUCUUCCUCUAGCUGGUUUAAGGGGUAUGACCACUUACCACCCACUGGUUGUGAUGUCACAGUUCGACCAGUUUUAGGACGUCCAUCCUUUUGAGGGGGCAUUGGGUCAGCGUUUCGCUUCUCGCUAUUUGUCAGCAGAGGAUAUAUCUAGGGUGUAUGCUUGUUGGGAUCAGCGUGAGCUAGCUGAGUUUUCCAUUAGCUAUUCGGCAUGUUCGACAGAGUAUUCUACAUGGAUGGAGACAAUGACUGCAUCGGUUGCGGUUGUAUCCACAGUGCCGGGGAUUGAUUCUGAUGGUGGAGAGCCCAUAGAGGAUGUUGAUUCUCCUGUCGAGGAGGAGCUAUUUGCUGAGUUGCCAGCAGCUGUGAUGGAUUCUCCUUGUAUGACUGCUACUGUGACCCCGUAUUCAGUAGAGUAUUUAGAGCAGAGCCUGCAUCUGAUGACAUUUAAGAGAGAUCAGGCUAGGGCCUUGAUGUUGACAGCUCUUGUUGGGAGAGAUGUCGCUCUAUUAGAGAGAGAGGAUGCCUUAGCUCAUAGAGACACCACUAUUGCUGAUAGGGAUGAGACUAGAUCAUCUAGAGAUGCAUUGAUUGUUGAGCGGGAUGGCGCUAUAUUUACUCGGGACGUAGCCGUUACAGAUAGUACUACAGUGAAAUCCUUUACCAUUGGCAUUAUUGUCGAGAUGAGCGUAUAUAUUGAUGAGCACCAUGUCACCAUGCAGUUGGUUGUGGAUCUGUUGGCUAGUGUAGAUACCCUUGGGCAGGAGCUCACAGCGUUACCUCCUUCUUUGGAGAGAGAUGCCAUGUUGGACUUGAUAGCUCGUAUAUCCACUGAUUUGUAGAUGGGCUUGUAUUUUCCUGCACAGACUAGCUUAGCCAUUUUGUCAUGUACAAUACAUAUUGUAUAUAUCAAACAAUAUUAUAUAUGGCAGGGAAAUAUAUUUUGAUUCACUUCCCUUUUAGUUGUGCCUUGUUACUUUCUUGAUAUUUGCCUGUUUCUUCAGGACUUGUCAUCUUGAUGUAUUCUGAACUCAUCCUUGAUGGGUGGACAUUGAGAUGUCUCAGGAUCUUUUAGAAUGGAUCGUUGAUCUGUGUGUAUCCCUACCCUCUGGGGUCUUGGGACUAGUUUCUGUAUGUAGUAAUGGAGAGGAUUGUGGCUUUCCUCUCUGAGGUUGACCGCACCACAAAUGGUCGUUAGUACUCCUUUGUAUGGGGGAGCCCAGGUAGUUUCAUCUCUUUUGGAUUGGUGUUUCUCUUUGAGGAUUCAACCGCAGCUUAGAUGGUCGCCAAUUCUCCCAUUUGUGUGGGGAGAUCAGAUAGUUUCAUCCCUUUGGUCUGAAGCCGAUGAAAUGUGGUGGAUUGAAGUUUGAUCCCAGUACCAUGUGAUAAGUUUUUGUGUUUUGGUAGGGGGUAAGACUGAACCAUAAAUGGCUGCCUACGUACUCCUAUUGAAGAGGAGAUCAGGUCUGCGUAGUUCGAACCUAUUGUAAUAGGUUCAACGAUGUAUGUGAAAGGGUGUAGAAGGAUGUAGAAGUGUGUUUUUGUUUUUGUUUUUUUUAUUGCGACCGGGCCAUUAAAAAAUGGUUUCCUACGUACUCCCGUAUAUUGGGGAGAUCAGGUCGACGUAGUUCGCCCCAUGUGCAGGACGGAUUGCAACCAAAAAGCUUGAUCCCAUGUUCAGGACAAACUGCAGAUGAAAAGUUUGAUCCCAUGUACAGGACAAAAUGCAGGUGUGAAAUGUUCUAUCCCUGGUGGGACAAAACUGCAGGUGUGAAAGGUUUUAUCCCUGGUGGGACAAAACUGCGGGUGUGAAAGGUUUAAUCCCUGGUGGGAUAACCUGAAAGGUUUGAAAAGAAGUGGAGUGAAAGAUCUAAUGAUCUGAAAACUAGGCUACUGGUUUAAAGAGUGUGUUUGUCUCUGAUGGGGCAGAUGGGUAGGAAGAAAGGAUGUAUGUAGUGAAGAGUUAGAAAACCUGAAGUGAUUGGGGAUCUGGUGAUCCAAAACUAGGAUGUUUGUUUGCUGGUAACCUCAGACAUAGUGCCAUUUCACGGUGUCCGAGUUGAUGAAUUAUGGAAAUUCAUUGCCGUCCAUUUCCUGUAAUCUGAGAGCACCUCUUGUCAAUACCUCCUUGACAAUAAACGGGUCUUCCCAGUUCGGGGCGAAUUUUCGAUCUUGGUUAUUAAUGAUCUUCUUCAAAAACUGUCGUAGCCGGACUUUUCUAUUGUAGGAUCUGGCGAUCCUUUGUUGGUAUAACUGACCAUGGAAGAUAGCACUGACUCGCCUUUCAUCUAUUAGAGACAAUUGGUGAUACCUAUCUUGUAACCAUUGGUCUUCAUCCAGCUGAGCGUCUAUCAGCACUCUAAGGGAUUCCAUUUCCACCUCUAUGGGGAGCACUGCUUCCAUCCCAUAGGUUAAUGAGUAGGGGGUUGCCCACAUCAAUGGCAAGGAGGUAUUAGAGAAAGAGGAUGUCGGAAUAGAGAAGAUUAUAACGUGAGUAGCAUUUAAAAGAAAAUCACAGCUUUCCAAGUGAGGAGCGAUCCAGAGGUGUACCUAGAAUGAAAAAAAGAAGAUAGAAUGGGUAUUUGAUUGUCAUAAAUACUCAAAUCUAAAGAAAGUCAACUUAGUUGUUACUAAAUUUUUAUAUUAUGCAGUUACUUGGUGGGAUCAGUUAACUACUAGUAGAAGGCGAUGUGGUGAACGUCCAAUUGAGACAUGGACAGAGAUGAAGAUAGUUCUGAAAAAGAGAUUUGUACUGAGCCACUACCACUGUGACUUGUUUAGAAGUUUAUAGAAUUUGAAACAAGGAAGCAGGAUUGCUGAGGAUUACUUCAAGAAGAUGGAGAUGUUAAUGGCUAAAGUUAAUAUGGAUGAGGAUAGUGAGGCAACAAUGACUCGAUUUUCAGAAGGGCUAAAUUGGGAUAUAGCUGAUUUAGUGGAAUGAAAACAUUAUGUGGACUUGGGGGAUAUGGUACACAUGGCAAUCAAGAUUAAGAAGCAGCUUAAGAGGAGAGGUGGCUAAAUUUCAAAUCCUACCAAAGGCUCAUUAUGGAAAUCUAAUGCGGUAAAAUGAAAGGAGAAGCCAGCUAUGAAUAAGUCGAAAGUGGAGUUUAAACCAUUUGUGACUAAUCGUAGAAAACAAGGUAAAACAGAACCUUCUUAUUUUAACCGCAAUCGAGAUAUUGUAUACUUUAAAUGUCAAGGAAUGGGGAAUAUUUCUAGUCAAUGUCCAAAUCAGUGAACUAUGUUGUUGCUUGACAAUAGAGAGGUAAAAACCGAGGGGAGGUUGAUGAUAGGGAGAUUGUUAUGCAUGGAAAGGUGUUGGUUACGAGAAGAGUGCUUAGUGCGCAUGUAAUAGAGGAAAGUUUGGAGUAAUGGGAGAAUUUGUUCCACACUAGAUGUCUUGUGCAAGGAAAAAUUUGUUGCGUGGUAAUUGACGGUGGGAGUUGCACUAAUGUAGCAAGUACAACCAUGGUGGAGAAAUUAGGAUUGUCGACAACCAAACAUCCUCAACCGUAUAGAUUGCUAUGACUUAAUGAUAGUGUCGUUUACCAUUGGGAAAUAUGUGGAUAAGGUCUUGUGUGAUGUGUUUUUAAUUCAAACAGGUCAUUUACUACUUGGGAGGUCGUGGCAAUUUGAUAGGCGUGUGAAGCACAAUAGGUUUAUUAAUGAAUACUCUUGUUUUAUUAUUAUUUUACGUGUUGUUAUGUGUACGUAUUACAGGAGUGGAAGUGGGUGGAAAGCAAGAGAAACAGGGCAAAAGCGUCAAAAUGCAGCUAGCACACCCGCUGAGGCGGCAAUCACUAAGCCAAAUUACUCACCGGGGUGGGGGUCUCAAGUGUCCUGGUUUGGUUCUGACUCUAGAGAUCUUUCGCUGGUGGAUUCAGGACACGGUUAGGAGAGUAUUAAAUGAGGAUGAAGGGGCAGAGAGGACAGAGAUAAUCAUCAUUAAUAGAACCCUAACUCUUAGAUCACGAUUUGGAGGAUUGAAGCAACGAUUUGGAACACGAAGAAUACGAAGGGGAUUGGAGAAGAGCAGCGGGUUUAUUUACAGUUUAAAUUCUUUAUAUUCAUCUUUGUAUUCAUAAUGCUAGUAUAUUUGUGGAUUUCAGUUUCUUAUUCCUUCAUCAUGAACUAACUUACUAUUUAAGUAUACAAUGGAUCUUUUUGUGUAACGAAGGUUGACAUGCUUUUAUUUUAAUUUAUUGAGACUAUUUCAAGAUUUGUCUAUUAUGGUUUAUGCUUAAUUAAUGAAUUACUUGAUCACCAAUUCCUUAUGAACCCAUAUGAACUCGAGAGAUGGAAUAUGAGUUUAGACUUAAUCAUAGUGGCGUGUGAUUAUGAUUUCUGCAUAUUGUUGGGAUUUAUAAUUUAUGUCUAGGAUAGAGAUAUACCUAUACAUCACAUGUAAUCUCAUAAGAACUUGUGAUUAAACCUUCUUUAAUUAUAAUUCACAUAGAGAUAUAAUGGAUUAGUUAAUUAGGGUGUUCUACUUAAUUCUAUCAAUUGUGGAUUUAAGUUGAUAUGGGUAUAAUGCAUCGAGAGAUGGUUAUAUCUACUGUUGUGUUCUUGAUUAACGAACUGGAAUAGUUAAUGUGAAUUAAAAGGAAGUGUGUCAGUCUAAGUGAAGUAUCAAGUGAAAUUGUAGGCUUAAUUCUCCAAUAUCUUAUUAAAGCUUGUGGUAGUUAGUUAAUUUUUCCUUAAUUAGUAGUUUUUGUAAAUUCACAUACUUAAUCAUUAGUUUAAUAAAAUUGAGAUAAUAUAAAAUUGGUAAUUGUUAGGAUAAAAUUAAGUUAUUUCUCUAUGGGAACGUUACUCAACUCAUCACUUUAUUAGUUGUUGACCACGUAUACUUGUGUGUUGUGCGUAAUUAGAUUUUACACCAUCAUCCACUGUCGGGCGUCUUUCCUCAAAUUAGUCAUGAACAUCUGACAUUUAGUCGCAUCCAAGUAGCCGUAGUAGUCCAUCAGCCGAUCAUAAGUCUGGUUGUGCUCAUAAGGGUCCCUCAAACCGUCAUAACUCUCCAUGUGAGGGGGCUUCUUACUCGAAUUGGCCUUCUCUUGAACAAUUUUUGGGGAGAACGGUGAUGAAGAAUUAACCGGGGUUGCAACAUUUUGAUUCCCCUCGGUUAACUGUUUCUCUUAUCUAAUUCAGUCACCUUCCCUGGUAGCUCUUCGGUCUCACUUCUUUGGGGGGAAGGAUCUCUUUUACCCCGUAUUCUUCUAUCGGGAAAUAGAUCCAGUCUCCUGUAAUUUGACCGACCUCUACUUUCAGAACUUGCUGCCCUAGAGUGGCUUCGAUGCCUACUCCUAAUGUGUCGAGAGCCGUCCGAACGAUGUGUCUUGGACUAGUUCCUGGAUGACUGUUCUCCUGAUCUGCUCCUGCGCCUGCUCUUGUCCCAAGAACAACUCUAAAGCCUGCUAUCAGUUCGCCUAGAAUCGUCUGUUUGAUGUGUUAUGCACUAAACUUCUAGCGACCGCCCCCGCCUUCAGCUAUGGCUAGAGGCACCUUCCUCGUUUCCCACUAUCAAUAACACCAUUUAUUGGUCAAUCUUCUUUCGUUGCAAGAGCAAGGCUUUCAAGGCAUCAUCCGUCUCUUGGGCCUUUUUAGAUAAGAUCAGCCUCCUUUCGUCAUGGCCGUCGUCAUGGGGACGUGUUCAGGAUGGUACAUACUCGAUACGACCCCCAUGACCAUCAUUCCUGCUGGCAGUUGAGAACAAUCUCCGCCGAGCGUAUCUUCCAUGUCCCUUGAUGAGGCCAAUGAGUUACUUUGAGGCCCGAGUCUGUCCUGGAUGCUUCUGGAGGGACCCAACAUAUCCAUAAUUGAUCCUCUUGGCUGAGCAAACUCGUCCGCCGUUGACUUCCCAACUCCAGAAAUUGUCUUACUAUUCACUAUGAUUCCCGUCGGAUAACUCCUAUUGUGAUUGAAAAAUAACAACACUAGAAAGCCCUCUUUCUAGCCCCAGUGUUAACGCCAAAAUCCGUCCACGCGUUCCAAUCACCAAAGUGCGUUAAAUCUUGCACAGAAACGGGUAAACACCAAAAACUUGACGACUUGGGCCGCCGGGGGAUAGCUCCGGUGUGAGAAUAAGUACCGCUUGAAUAAAGUUAACAAUGGAGGCUUAAAACUCUAGUGCUAUAAAUAAUAAUUAUGUGUGUACUUUAAAAUCAGGAUGUAGCCUUGUAUUUAUGUUGAUCACACCAUCUCUGCAAAAUCCUUCCUCGUAUAGAAUUGAAAUUCCUAAUUAUGUAAGAUACAUUAAUAGAAACAAAAAAAUCUCCGUAAAGAAAGAAAGUCGAAUCAUAUCCUAACACUUUCAUCAAGAGUUAUAAAUUAAAUGUGAUAAAGAAUAUUUGAUUCUUUAAAAUACUCAACUACCAAAAAGGCUUCUACGUAGGUUAAAAUAACCCCACGUGGAAUUUGGCCCACCAUAUAAUUUGAGCCCAAAUAAUCAUGUCUUAACAAUUCCAAUAAGAUUAGUAUUAGCAAUGAUAUACAUUAUUGCAUGACCCCUCUCUAGCAGUUUAAACUUUUAAAUGAGUUAAUUACUUAACAUGGUAUAAAAGUUUUAGGUGUGUAGGGUUCAAUUUUUUAUGACCACGCAAUUAUUUUUAUAUUAAUUUAAUAGUACAAAUAUACUUUGUGAUAGUAGCAUUAUUUCUCUAUAACAAUACUACUAUCACAAAAAAAAUACUCAUAUAAUGUUCAUAUAUAUAUAUAUAUAUAUAUAUUGUGAAUCCUGCCUGAUAUGUGGAAUUCAAAAUAUGUAUGUGUAUGUGAACAUUAAGGAAUAUACAUUGGCCCUCUCUUUAAUAUUACCAAUCGGGAAGAAAUUAAAUACGUGUUCCGAAGUCCUAUUUUCCUUUUUUUAUAUUAUUUUUUUUAUCAACAAGUUCUUGUUGAUUCUCAUAAUUCAAAAGAGACCCAAUUAAUGUUAUUAUUUCCUGUGGUUAGUUUCUAUAUUCACAUAUCAAAUCAUAACAAAGUCAAAUCAUCUUCUCAAAGAAUCUAAAAAGUACUGAUGUGCACUAUUACUAAGUUUAUUUCAUAAUAUAUAUACUAGGUUUCUUUUAUCUUUUUCAUUUUGUCAUCUCAUCAUUUGUAAAAAUACAAAUAUAUUUUCCCCUGGACCGAAUCCUGAUGCCAAGUAACAAACAAUAGUUUAUAUAAAUGAGUUGCAUUUGUUUAAUCAGCGAACAGUUGUAUUUUAGAUGAACUUUGUAAUAUAAGUAUUUUCUUUAUUUAAAAUUAUAAAAUCAAUAUAAAUUUUUAAAAAUAAAUUUUAAAUAUUUUUAAACUCAAAAUUAACAUAAAUUUAUUUAGUUUUUGUCAAUAUAAUUAUGAAUAUUAUAAAGAGUCAUGCUAUGUAUUGUAAAAUAAUUCAGUCAAAUUAUAAUUGCAAUAAAUAUACAUUUAUUAGAUAGACAAUAAUUACGAAUAGUCACUCUAAUUUAUUCUAUCUUAUCGUAUAAAUUUUCAUGAUGAUGGCAAUUCAACUUCGUUACAUAUUUGUCGACAUAUAUAUUAUUUCUCUAUCAUAUAGUACCUAAAAAGUACUAGUAAUAAAAUUUUUUAUUUUAAUAUUUAAAUAUAUUAUGUCAAUUUUAAAUUUAAAAAUAUUUUAAAUUAAUUUUUAAAGAGUCAAUAGUGAUAUUAUAUUUGGUAACCGUAUGUAUUAUAUAAAUCCAACUCUAUGCUACACAUGAUAUGCACCUCAUUCUAUAGGAAUUAUCAAUCCAACCGACUGGAAUCCAAAUCACCCUGGACCAAUUUAUUGCCUUUCUAGCUAGCUAGUUCUUCAAUGAGAAUAAAACUUAAGGUGGAAAAACAAACUCUCAAAACAUAUUUCAAAGAGUAGUUCUACACGGACCGGAUAUUUAGACAGGAAAAUUGGAUAUUUUUCAUUUUUUUUUAUUUGUGAUUCUCAAAAAAUGUAUAGUAUUUAUUUUAAUACAAAUUUUUUCAAAAUAUAGUGUUUAGGUGUUUUAGUCUGUACAACCAUGUUCUUAUAUAUGUAUCUAAAUUACACCUAAAACACUAUAUUUUAUAAAAAUUCAUGUUAGAAUAAAUACUAUACAUUUUUUGAGAGUCACAAAUAAAAAAAAAUAAAAAAUAUCCAAUUUUCCUGUCUAAAUAUCCGAUUUUCUAUUUCAAAUCCAGUGCUGCUAGAAAAUUUGUACAAUUUUAUUGAAAAGAAGAACAUAAGGACGGGGAAAAAGGUAGAUUCCACUGAUAAUGCAAGAGAAAAAGUGUACAUUUAUUGUAGUAUAUAAGUAGGCACGGUGUAUAUUAAAAAUAUCAAGCAUAGAUAGAUAGACAGGCUAACUAGCUAGUUGUUACUAGUUCGUUCAUAUAUACAUCUAGUAGUACUAAUAAUUACUACUGCUAAUAAAAAAAAGAUUAUUAACAUAUAUAUAUAUAUAUAUAUAUAUAUAUAUAUAUAUAUAUAUAUAUAUAUAUGUGAGUUGGUUCAUUUAAUUAUUGUGAGUCCCAUAUAGUUAUAUUAAUUAUGCCUAGAGAUCCACUUGUUGUUGGGCGAGUGAUUGGGGAUAUUUUGGAUCCAUUUACAAGGUCGAUUUCCCUGCGGGUGACAUUCAACAACAGGGAAGUGAAUAAUGGAUGUGAGUUCAAGCCUUCUCAAAUUGCUAACCAACCAAGGGUUGAUAUUGGAGGAGAUGACCUCAGGACUUUCUACACUCUUGUAAGCCUCUACGUACUUAUAUUAAUACUUUAUAUAUAUAUAUAUAUAUAUAUAUAUAUUCUUCUUCAUAUUCGUUCAUUAUUUAUCUCCCUUUUCAUUCAUUAUUUAUAUCUCCCAUUUUGAUCUUCUUUCUUUCUUUCUUCGCCUACAAGAAAAAUAUUAAGUACAAGAUUUUGAUCCAGUGAAAUUGUUCUCUAACUUACUAUCGGUCAAUAUUAUAUAAAAUGAGUUGUAUUUAUAUAUAGAGAAAGUUACAGCUGUUAUAUAACAGACGCAAGUGUAAUGCAACUCAAAAGAAAAACCUUUACGAGCAUAGUGAUGAAUGGAGAAAUUCUUCUUAUUAAUUUGUUCUUCUUGUGACUACACAAAAUCUUUAAUCCACAUUUUCUUUGUAGGGUUCAUAACGAUAUCUAAGAUUUUCAUUUCUGUAAUUCUUUCAUAGGUUAUGGUGGACCCUGAUGCUCCUAGCCCAAGUGAUCCAAGCCUGAGGGAAUACUUGCAUUGGUUAGUAUUCUCCCUCUCCCUAUAUCUCUACUUCUCCCUCCUCUCAAUUACACACACACACACACACACACACACACACACAUAUAUAUAUAUAUAUAUAUAUAUAUAUAUAUACCUGGAAAAAAGUGAAAGAAAAAAGAGAUCAGAUUUGUAUGUGGGGAGAUAAUAGUAGUACAAUUUUUUCUAAGCAAAGAGCGUGGGUAUUGAGCCAAAAGGAUGAAGUUGGUGUUGUGACAAGGUUGAACUUCUUAAUAAUAUAUCACCAACAUUAUCAUGUAUAGAGAGCACUUACAUAUAUAGUAGUUCAAUUUUGUCUAAAAGAUGCCUAUAUAGCUUGGAGUGCAAAGAGAGCAUGGCCAAAAGCCAAGUUUGAUUAUGUCAUCUCAAUUUAUAUAUGUCAUCCGGUCUCAAUAAUGAGUAAAGUAUAAUUUACCCAUAUAUUAUGAAAAAUAAAAAUAGAAGAAAUAAAAUGAAAAAGUUCUAAAUUUAUUCUUAGUGGUCCCAUAAGAUUAUAUACAGUGAUGAGUAUUUUAAAUAUUUUUUUUUAUAAUAAUAGACCCAAAUACUUUUCACUAUAUGUAUUUUAUCUAAUUCUUUUGAGGAAAAAAAUUGUCCAAUUUGUCAUCCUUUAGAAUUUUAAAUAUUGAAAAAAAAUCUCUCUUAUUUUCUUAUUUUGUUUCUAGUUGACUUACUGAUUGAUUCCUACGUACUAUAUAUAUAUAUAUAUAUAUAUAUAUAUAUAUAUAUAUAUAUAUAGAAUAUCGAGUUCCAUUAGGAUUUACAACAAGGUUCCUAGGGUACCAUCUCCAUCAAAUAGACCAUAUUGUGUCUAUUUUUCUCUCUUAUAAAGUUAGACUAAAUUAUAUUAUAUACCUUCAUUUUUUUUUCUUGUGAGCACUCCUUCAUAGCUAGUGGAAGAGACAAAUUUGUAUUCUGACCUCUUUCGUUCUUUUACUUCUCAUCAUUUUUACUGUCCGAUAAAUAAAUUGAUUGUUACUUACUUCUUGGCGUUAAAUAAGAAGUCAAAGAGUACAAGCUCCACGAUAUAUUCAUUUACUCCUUAUAUAUUUACUCGUUCCGUUUUUUUAAUAUAAGUCAUUUUAGAAAAAUAUUUUUAUUCUUAAAUAUAAGUUGUUUGAGAAUUUUAAGUAAAUAUUAAUUGCUUAGUUUCUAAUAUUAUCCCAAGUAAUAAAUAUAACUUUGGUUCUCUUACUAUUUUUGCCCUAUAAAUAGCACUCUCUUUUUUCAAUACAAAGGUAAUAUAGACAAUUAAUAAUAUAUUUAAUGCUUUAUAAUUAUUUCCUUAAUACUCAUACAUAACUCUAAAACGACCUAUAUUAAGGAAAGAAAGGGAGUAUUUCAUGUGAUACCAAUAACAAUGCUAGCUCCACGAUUCGAAAUUAAAUAAAAUUUACAACCUCUUAUAUUUUUGCAUAUUCUAUUUGAAUUUUAUUUAAAAAGUCUAUCUNNNNNNNNNNNNNNNNNNNNNNNNNNNNNNNNNNNNNNNNNNNNNNNNNNNNNNNNNNNNNNNNNNNNNNNNNNNNNNNNNNNNNNNNNNNNNNNNNNNNAUAUAUAUAUAUAUAUAUAUAUAUAUAUAUAUAUAUAGAUCAUGAAUGAAUGUAUUCUUUCAACCUAAUACAUUUUACAUGAGGUUUAGUAAUUUGGUUCUUAGGAUUUGCAGCAUUAGCGUUUGAUGUGUUGUGUUUGAGCCACAAAAGUUGCAUUGUGAAUUAAAUAAACUACAUUUUAAAUAAAUUAGUUUAAACAAACAAGAUUUACAAGUGUGUUUGUGUAACCAAACAUGCAUCAGUUUAAAAGAAAAAAUUUCAAUUGAAGUAACUAUAACUAAUCCAUGUAAAUGUGAAUAUGUAGGCCAAGAGGUUUUGUGUUAUGAGAGUCCAAGGCCAUCAAUGGGAAUCCACCGAUUCGUUUUCAUAUUAUUCCGGCAAUUGGGGCGUCAGACGGUUUACGCUCCGGAGUGGCGCCAGAACUUCAACACUCGAGAAUUUGCUGAGCUCUACAAUCUUGGUUUGCCAGUAGCUGUUGUGUAUUUUAAUUGCCAAAGGGAGACUGGCUCAGGAGGAAGAAGGAGAUGAUAAAAAUAAAUACAUAUUAGAAAUUAUUAUUAAUUAGAAUAUUUAUUUGUUUCAUUCUCUUUAUAUAUAUGUAUUGAAGAGACAGAAACAAGUAGGUAUAAUCUAUGUGUAUUGUUUUUUUGUUUUGUUUUUUUUGAGAACGGCAGAUGGCUAUGUUAAUUUAAUUUGGUUGAAUGAAAUAAUCCUUUUUUAUGUAUGAGUGUAGUUUUACGUUAAAUGUUUUCCCUACAGGAGAAUUAUAUCUGCCCUCCGGCCAUUAUUGAAGGAGUAUAAAUAUUCUAGAAAGAGUGUUGAAUAGAUAGAUUAUUAUACUUUUUGGAAAAUUAUUGGUCUUUUAAAAAUUAAUCCAUGACUCAUUUGUUUGAUGAUAUGUGAAUAUAGAACAAGUCAAGGAAAGAGUUAAGAAAGGAGGUAAUCAAUCACACUCAAAGUGCUAACAAGUAGUAAGAAUUAAUAUAAAUUAAACGCAAUUGUUUAUAAACGUAGAUCUCUUAAUGAGCAUAUAAUACAAGUGAUGAUAUAGAGAUUAAAGCUCUAGCUUGUAUUUAAAUAAACUCAAGAUCAAGUUCACAAGCACAAGUAUCAAUAUGAUAAGUAGAUUACUUGUGGUGUGUAGUUUUUGAUGUAUAAAUAUAACCUUAUAAGCUUAUAUCAAAAAUUAGUGUAAGAAAUGUUUGGAUAAAAUGAUGAAUAUAAUAUUAAGGGUUGAAGAUAUAUAGAUUAAUAUCAAACACUUGAAUGACAAUUAAAUAGUCAAGUAUAAAAUAUAUAAAAGUUUAAUACUUGAACAAUUUAAUGAUAAAAUAUUAUACUUUUAAGCACAUAUAUUUUUCUUGAUUAAAAGAUAUAAGCAUUUUAUAGUCAAUCAAGAAUGCUUAAUAUUUAAAAAUAUUACAAGUAUGUAAAUAUAUCAAUUUGAUGCUUUAAAUACAAUUUCAAGUAUAAUAUGAUUUAAACUAAUAUGCUCAAAUACUUGAACUUUAAGCAUAACUAAUCAAGUGUAAUAUAUGUUUGGUUUUAUUUAUAUUUCUUUUCUAAGAGUAGUCAGUUUACAUAUACUUCUCUCAAUGUAUAUAUUAUAUAUAUUUGUCUGAUGGAACACACAUCCGAUAUCUUAAAUUAAGACGGGUUGGGAGAUAAUUUAAUAUUUAUUCACUAAAACAUGAUGCUUAACAAGAUAUAAAAUAUACAAUAAAAAUUAUUAUUUCCAUAACAAAAGUGUCGUUAUAGAUUCUUUAGUGACGGUUUUCACCGUCGCUAUACAUCUACCUCGACACUUUUAUUGUGUAAAUAAUAAAAAGUAUUAUAAAUUUAACAAUUACCAAAAUAAAAACAUAGGCUUCAAGUGACGGAAUUUUGCACACUUGAAUUCCUUCUUUGAUUUUCAAGUGAAAUAGAAUGUAAAAUUCUAAUGAUCACAUUUGAUCAGAUUAAUAAAAAUUCGAUUGAGCAUGUAUGUAUUGAUAAGGAUAAUGAAAAAAUCAAGGAACAUAAAUGAGGAAUUCAAGGGAUUUUCCUUUUUAUUUUGUGAUUAAUUUGUAAUCAUCUUAUUUCCAGUAUUCUGUUAUUAUGUUUAGGUAGUUACUAUGUUUUAAAUUGUUUUCCUUAUCACUUAGGAGAGUUCUCAUUUUUCGUGUAUUAUAUAUACUGGUAACAAAUCAAUGAAAAGCACACAUCCAUAAUUCUCUAAUUCUCUCUGUGUUAACUUCUUCGUGGUAUCAAAAUCUAUCUAAGGUUAUCUUUCCUGAUUUUUUUUUUUUGCAAUGGCAAACAAAAAUAAUCAAAUUACCAUUCCCAAUACUCGAGAACCCACAAAACCCCUCAUCAUGAUCACCGUUCAUAACUCCAUUAAACUCACCUCCACUAAUUACCUCUCCUGGAAACUUCAGAUGGAAGCCAUUUUAAUUGGCUAUGAUCUACACAAAUUUAUUGAUGGCUCCUUUCCUGCUCCUAUGGCCAAAAUCACCACAAAUAAUGAAACAAAAGAAAAUCCAGCAUACAACACAUGGGUCCGCCAAGAUAAACUUAUUUUUGGGACUCUGGUUGGCACACUCUCUCUUUCUAUUAUUCCUCUCAUCACCCACACACAAACCUCUCAUGAAGCAUGGCAAGUUUUGGCCAAUACUUAUGCUCGGCCCCCCUCUCGUGGUUAUAUUCUACAAAUUAAAGAUCAACUCAGACAGAUAACCAAGGGCUCCCAAACUGUUUCUGAUUAUAUACAGGCCAUAAAAACUCAUGCAGAUGAACUUGCGACACUUGGCAAACCUUUUGAUAAUGAAGAUGAUGAAUAUCAACCUGUUAUUGAUGUUGGAGGGUCUCGAUGAUGGAUAUCAACCUGUUAUUGAUGUUGUUAAUGGCUGUGAGACCCCAAUCUCUUUUGAUGAACUACAUGAAAAAAUUAUCAACAAGGAGCUUUCUCUUCAUCAAAAGAUCAGUUCAUCACUUCUUCCGGCCUUCGCUAAUAUAACCAAUACCAGAUUUGCUCCAGGCCAAACCCAUAAUUGCUCUACACGAUCUUCCUGACCUUAACCCCCUCACGAGCCUGCUAUGGGUCAGCCCGGCCACACCCAACCUGCCCAGACGUCCUUCUCCUCAACCUUUUCUCGGUCGGUGCCAGUGGUGUAAUACUUAGGGACAUGUGGUCUCUAAAUGUCCAAUUUUUUUGCCAACACCACCCAAACUUGCAACCACCUCCUCGUUCCGAUAAUAACUGGCAACCCCGUCCUUCAACUCCCUCGCAAUCUCGAGCUCAUGUUACAACCGCAGACUCCUCUACCACUUUUAAUUGGCUCCUCAACAAUGGAGUUUCUCACCAUGUUACUUCUGAUUUAAAUUUACAACCUUUCCUUUCACACACCCUAUGAUGGCAUAGUCGACAUUGUGAUUGGAAACGACAAGGGUCUUCCUAUUUCUCAUAUCGGUUCUACAUCUCUAUCUACUCCUUCUCAAUCCUUUUCAUUAUCUAACGUGAUAUGUGUACCUACAAUGAAAAAAAAAUCUUAUUUCUAUUUCACAAUUUUGUUGUUCUAACAAUACUUCUAUUGAAUUCACACCCACCUCUUUUUUGUGAAGGAUCUACGUACGGGGGCAAUCUUUUUGCAAGGUCGGACUAAGGAUGGUGUGUAUGAAUGGCCAACAACUACCUUGUCCCCAUCUUCUCCAUUAAUCGCUUUUUCUAGUGUCAAAACCACGCCAUUUGAGUGGCAUGGGCUAGGACAUUCGUCAUUUUCUAUUUUCAAGCAUAUUGUAUCUUUCUUUAAGCUUGACUACUCUCGAUUUUUUUUUAUGUCAAUUUUAAUUCUAACUCAUGUCAAUUUUAAUUCUAACUCAUGUCAGUGCAAUAAAAGUCAUAAAUUACUUUUUUCAAUUUCCACUACCACAUCUUCUCCUCUUGAAAUUAUUUUUUCUGAUGUAAGGACCUCUCCUCUUUACUCUAUUGAUAACUUCAAGUAUUAUGUUAUUUUUGUUGAUCAUUUCACAAAAUAUAUAUGUUUCUAUCCUCUAAAAUGAAAAUCUCAUGUAUAAAAUGUCUUUGUUCGCUUUAAGUCCCUUGUCGAAAAUCAUUUCAAACCCAAAAUACUCGCACCUUAUUCUGAUAAUUAGGGGGGGGGGGGAUAUCAAGCACUUUCUAAAUUCUUAGCCACCAAUGGGGUGUCACAUCUUACCUCCCCCCUCUCACACACCAGAACAUAGUUGAAAUUGGGUUAUCUCUUCUCUCCCAUGCCUACAUGCCUCUGUCGCACUGGUCAUUUUCUUUCUUCACUGCUAUCUACCUCAUAAAUCGUCUUCUCACCCCUACUCUCGACUUUCUCUCCCCAUAUAAUAGACUCUUUGGUACUUGAUGAAUGGGUAAUAUACCCAUGAAUUGGAUACAUUCGGGCUUAAUUUAUUGUUGUUCUCAAGUCUUUUAGAAUAGUUUUUAAGUGUUUGUGUCUAUUCAAGCAUGUUUUAUGAUGUUUUGUAGGAAUUAAGACAAAAGUUACUUGGAUCGACGUUUGGGGUGGCUAGAUUCGCGUUUCGGCUUGCCAUUUACACAACAGUCACUUCAGAGCCAAUUUGAGUAUUGCUCCGGACCUUAUUUCGAAAAACUUAAAGAAUAAAAGUUGUAGAUCUACUUUUCCUCUUUUCGGAUCAUCUUGAAUCAUUGAAAUCGGAGUUCGGACGAAGAAGUUAUGGCCAUUUUCGCAAAGGACAUCGGAGUAGAAUAUGUCGGAAAAGGGUCCAGCACCGGGGCGCCCAUUUUUGGCCUAUGCCCAGCGCCGGGGCGCUGGGGAGCAGUGUACUAGCGUCAUGCCCAGCGCUGAGGCACUAGGGAAGAGUUUGGUUGGGCCUGGACGCAUUUUUGGGCGAAUUUUGAUACCUUUUUGACUCCAAAUUGGAUUGGGUUUGUUCCUAAGCUAAAAAUUGGACUUGUAACCUAUAAAUACAUGAUGUAAGACAUAAAAUAAAGGGAGAUUACAUAGAUUAGACUAGAUAAAACACUCCAUUAGAUUAGAAUAUAAACCCUAGUUCUUAAUUAGCCAUUGGAGAUUGAAGCAAAUUGAAGAACACUGAAGAUCAAGAGCAAGAGCAAGAGGGGAGCAUCAGAUUUGCUGACAACAGAUUCUAUUCUCUUCUCUUAUCAUACUUUUAUCUUUUAAUGUCUAUUCAGUUGUGGAUUCUUGGUUUUAAUUCAUUAAUUAUGAACUAACUCUUUUAUUAAGAUUUCAAUUGAACCUUUUAUGGCUAUAAAUUAGUUAUUUGAUUUAUUCCAAUUAUUUGUGUCAAAGUGAGUUGUUUAUCUUGCCUUAUGCUUAUUGAUUAAUUAUCUGAUCAGUAAUUACCUUGUUACUCUAGAAGGAAUUGAAAGAGGAAUUCUAGGGUUAGAACUGGGUAUGAUGUCAUGUGACUUAGUUAUUUGCACAGUGAAUAAUUAGGUUUGUGAAUAGAAUGAAAAUAUCUGUUCGCCGCAUGUAGCACAUAAGGAGUUGAGAUUGUAACGAGUUUAAUUCAAUUGUUUUGCAUAGAAAUAUAGCAAGAUUAAUCUGGAUUAAAUAGAAGGCAAUUGAUCACUUGGAAAAGGACUUUUGGCAUUUGAGAAUUCNNNNNNNNNNNNNNNNNNNNNNNNNNNNNNNNNNNNNNNNNNNNNNNNNNNNNNNNNNNNNNNNNNNNNNNNNNNNNNNNNNNNNNNNNNNNNNNNNNNNGAGUUCAUAAUUGGGGAUAUUGAAGUCUUAAUCCUCAUUUAUCUGAAUUCAAUCAAUCUUAGUUCUGUUUAUUUGCUUUCUUUUAGACUAAUCUCUUCCAUUUGUUUAAUUUAGUUUUCUUAAUUCGAAAAAAUCACAAUUAUUGGUUGUUUAAAUAAAAUUGAUUUGGUUAAGAGUUAGUAUUUGAUAAUUUUUAUUAAAUAAUUUCUCGUAGGAACGAUACUCUACUUUCACUUUAUUACUUGUUAACCGUGUAUACUUGCACGUAUUCAUUGAUUGCAAAAUCGAUCAACAAGUUUUUGGCGCCGUUGCCGGGGAAUUAAUUUAAUAAUUAUUUACCAAUAUUAAUUUCAAUCAAAUUAGUCUUAAUUUAAACAUUUUUAUUUUUAUUUUUAUUUUUCAUUCUCUUCCUAUAUUUCUCUCUUUUUAGGUACCAUGGAUGACUUUGCGUAUCAAUGGCCAUACACGAACAUGACUCAACCAAGGGGAGCGGAGAUUGACAGACUCGAGAAACUUUCUGCAUUGUCAGCACAUAUUGAGACACUUUCGAGGAUGUUUGAAGCUUUUGAAGCUCAACGUCGUCAAAGUGUGGCGGUUACUUGUGAUUAUUGUGCUGAAAAUCAUAUGAGUCAUCAAUGCGCCAUCAGUUUCGAGCCGGUACAGUAUAGUGGUGAUUACCCCAAUAAUUAUGUCUAUCCCAACAACUAUCAUCAUGAUUGGGGGUAUCACCUGGAUUUUUAAUGGAGUAACAAUCAAGCUCAAGCUCAAGCGCCAAGACAACAAAACACAUCCGGAUUCCAAAAUUAGACUCAACAACCAGAGAGGAAAUCAAGUUUGGAAGAAACCUUGGAGAAAUUUAUUAGAGCUUCUGAAAAAAAGAACGAGGAAAAAGACAAAAUAUUUAAUCAAAUAGAGCUGAAUAUGCAAAGCCUAGGUGCGUCGAUCAAGAAUUUGGAAUAUCAAUUGGGGCAGAUAACACAUGCGUUGAACAACCAUCCUCAAUACACUUGGCUCUAUGACAUGGAUGCCGAGACUGAUGGUGAGCUCAAACCAAAUCUGCAACCGGAUGUGCUAAAUGAUAUAGAUGUUGAAAGAGAGGAAAGACUUGGAGACCAAGAAAAGGAGAUCGGGAAAGAUCUAACUUUGAGUACCAACGAAGAUGAGCCAAUUUUGAUAGUGUCCCAUGUACCUUCUCCACCAAAGUUCAAGAAUCCGGGCAGUUUUGCAAAACCAUGCCCAAUUGGAAGUCAUGUCGUCGGCAAAGCUCUUGGUGACGUAAGAGCUAGUAUAGUUGUGGAGUCAUGGUGGGAUGAAAAGGAGAAGAUAGAGGAAGAUUCCAUUAUGUUUAUUAAGCUUCAAUGUCCCAAUCUGAUCAUAGACAUAAUGGAGAAAUCACCUAGUUGUUGGACGUUCUUAAUGGGGAUCUUAUCUACAAAGAGCAUGCUAGGUGACUUUAAUUCAAGGGUUUUUGCUAAUGGGAACCUCCCAAAAGAGACAUUAUUACUGAUGGAUGGAGGAUUCCUCAAUUUUCGAAGGGGAAUUGGAUAAAGAAUUGAAGAAGUCAGGCUGAGACUAUAAAACAAGCGCUUAUUGGGAGGCAACCCAAGUUUAAUUUUUAUUUUUAGUUUUUAUUAAGUUUUAUAUUAGUAGUUUUGAUUUGCAUUUAUUUAGAAUUUAAUAAAAUUGCUUCUAUCAUGGUUUUACAGGUUAUUCAAGUCAAAUUCAAGUGUGGUGCCCAAUUUGUUCCAUGCACUACGGGCCAUUGAGGACUUUUACCACAUCAUUCGUUACAUUAUGGUCAUGAUUAUACCGAAUAAUUCCUGGUCAUAAUCAUACCAAGUCCAUCUAUGCACGUAAACCAAAGAUGACUUUCAUCACAAUAUAAACAUGAGGAUGAUGACAAUGACAUAACAAUUCAAUAAAACAAGUUCAAGGAUAAAUUUUAAAGAUUUAUAAUUUAAUUUAUCCAGAGAUCAAUAACGUCCAAAUUUUCAACAUGAUAUUGCUUUGUAGAGUAAAAUUCAAGAAUAAUAUUCAUGUACCAAAAAUAAUUUGGACAGAAAAGAAUCAAUUUUUCAUCGUAAAUAGUACCCCAUGAAUAGUACUUCGGGAAUAGUACCUCGUGAAUAGUACCCCGACAUAAAAAGUACUCCAAAUACCCGAGUGAAUAAUAUUCGGGUGAAUAGUAAUUUGGGUAAAUAGUAAUCCAUGAAUAGUAACUCGUAAAUAGUACUCCGACAUGAAAAGUGCCUCGAAUACCCGAGUGAAUAAUACUAGAGUGAAUAGUAAUUGGGUGAAUAGUAACCCGUAAAAGAAAAUACCAAAAAAAAAUGAUAUUCCAUGACGUGUACAAAAGAAAUGAUAUCUCAUACGAGUAUAAUAUACUAUACGAAACUGCAAAUGAAUUUUCACCCGUUAUGCAGUAAUCCACGUAGACAGAUCAUUUCCACAAUUUAAUAAAGAAUGAAUAUGAAAGGUCAUUCACCAUACAUGCGGUAAUCCACACACUACUACAAAAUACUAAAUAGACAACACUUAAAAAAAACGUUGUGGUAUUUUUUUUACAACGUUUUUAAAAAAAACGUUGUAGAUAUAUAUGCAAAAACAUUAUCUAUUUAAAAGGAUAUUUUUUUGGUUUUAAUUAGAUAACAUUUUUUUUAAAAAAAUGUUGUCUAUGAAGAAAAACACGGAGUUAAAAAAAAGGCGAUUAAAUAAAAACUUAAGCUAGUGCUCGACCUCUUUUUUCCUUUCUGGAAGUUAAUUUAGGGCUCGACCUCUCCCCUCCGGAGCGCAAGCAAUUCGUCAGGAAAGUUGUUGAAUCCUACCUCGUAGACCUGCAAUCCAAAGCUGAAGCAGCGCGACAAGCAGAGGAAGAAGAGCCUGAAGAAGAAGAUGACGAAGAGGGACAGAGAAAGGGAAAGAGAGGCGGCGCUAAAGAGUACGACGAUGAUGGAGAUCUCACCAUUUGUCGUGUGAGUUUAGAUUCGAUUCAUCAUUUUAUAUUUUUCUUGGAGUAUUAGAAUUAAUUAAAUGAUUUUCUAAGUGUUUAUAAGUAAAAUGGUUUAGAUGUAUAGGUAUUCAAAUUUUCAUUGAGAGUUUUAGACCUUAUAUAUACUUCAAUAGUCUAUCCAAAUUGUCAUGUUCUUUGGGGCUGAAACUUAUUGGCCUUGUAAUUCAUGUUUAACUUAUUCCAUCUUCUCCUUUUUCUGAAAUUCAAAUUGUCAUUGGUGAAUGGAAUUUGUGAUUUACCGAUCUAGUGUUUUGUAUGACCUGGGUGCAAAAUCUUUGAAGUGAAGGCAAACUUUCCCCCUUGCAUUAGUGUACAUUUAUUCUCUUGGAAUUUAAGAUCCAUAUCAAGCAGUUAUCAACUUCAUACUCCUUCAUGCUAUUGGUUUUGCUGAAUGGUCCAUCUUGGAUCGAUAUCUGAUGUAAAUUUGCACUUGCACGGUCUGUAUGCUAUGA
rnacentral:lncRNA from 1 species